rnacentral:lncRNA from 1 species
UCCCUAUGUUUUUAGUUUGGCAUCUGCUGGUCGUGGUUCGUUCGUAUGGUUUUGCAUUCGGAUGGAUUUUGAACCUGUGUUGGUGCCGAAGUAUUGCAGAAGGGCUGUUGACUUUUACUGUCAGAUGCUUUCGAAUCAGAUACCUUUGUGGCAGUAUUUGCAGAAGGAACUUUCUUGAAGUAUUUAUGUUGUUUCUAUUGCCAACUAUGUACUUUUCCAGUUGCAACUUCAUCAUGUACCUUAUAGUUCUGUAGUUGGUUUCAUGUACCGAAGUAUCUGUAUUUGGCUACUUGGGAUGUCGUCUGGUCUUAAUGAUAAUGUCGAAUGGUUUCUGGGCACUUGAUCUCAUUCUGGUUGCAGUUGCAGUGGGAUUUGGAGGAAUGGGAUAUCCAUAUCUUUUUGCAUCCAUCCUGGUAAUUUCUGGCUUGAGGUUGAGUUUGACAGCUGUGGACUUUUAAAUCUUCAAUUAUAGGGAGCUUUAUUCUCUUGGAAGUUGCUUCUUAAAGUGUCCACUGUUUUACUUUAGCCAUGAGACAUUGGUUUAAAGCGCGCCACAUUAUAUACAAUCUCAAAUUGGCGGUGUGCAUUUAAGGGUGGUGAUCAACUGAUCAUAAUAAUUCAUUAAAAGAAACUAGACCAAUAGGUGCUAGCUGCGGUGGCUUUAUAGUUAGGGCUCAUUCUGUUUGGAGGAAAUCAAAACGUAGGAAUUAGGAGUAGUAUAGGAAUAUGAUAGGAUGGCACUUGCCAUCCUAAGGAAUUGACUUGCCUCGUUCCUACGCGUAAAAUGAGCUUUGAGUGGAUGUGUAGUUUCCUCCAAAAACACGGGAAAUGAGUAGUAUUCCUACGAAAUUCCUGCACGCAUUUCCUACAAACCGAAUGCAUACAUAGGAAAUUUUCCUUUGGAAUCCUUAUUCCUAUGUUUUUCCUACGAAAAUCCUCCAAACCGAAUGAGGCCUUAAGGAGAGACAACCAUGAGGCCCACUGCAGAGCACAGGGCUUGGACACAGGUGUCAGGCUUGGUGCACGCCCGUGCACAACACCUAUAGCCAACUCGACGAUCAGUUGAGAAACUGAUCGUAAUUCAUAAGGAACAUUCUCUUCGAGGCAUGUUCUUUAAAAAGUAUCUUGAACUCAUGUUUGUUAAGUCAAAUUGCGCAACCAGUUGUGCCUGGGCUUUUCGUAAGUAGGUUCUUAAAUUGAUUAAUUAUUUGGUUAUAUGGUAUAUUCAUUUUUUUUGAAAUGAUUUGAUCUUCUUUUUCCCUCGCUGUUUUUGCUGGUGCUCUUGGUUUCAGCCAAGCAGUCCGUAAGUGUACUGGUAAACAAUGCCGUCUUAUGUUGCGUUUGUAUAGUGGGUUUGAUUAACAAUUUGGGCUCUACAAAAAUGAUAAAAAUCAUUGCGUUCCAAUCCAAGUAGAGAAUUAUCUGAUAUCCAUCAUAUUCUCUGCAUGUUAUUCAGCUUCUUGGUUUGUACUCCCUCCGUUCCUAAAUAUUUGUCUUUCUAGAGAUUUCAACAAGUGACUACAUACGGAGCAAAAUGAGUGAAUCUACACUCUAAAAUAUGUCUAUAUACAUCCGUAUGUGGUAGUCCAUUUGAAAUCUCUAAAAAGACAAAUAUUUAGGAACGGAGGGAGUAUGUAGCAAAAUCCUGGAUGCAGUAGCUGAAGUUGAUGUUGCACAGUAGUCCAUUUUUUCCAUUUUUGUUAUGACAACAGCGACGUAGUUUAAAUAUGUCUGAUGUUAGGUAAGAAAUAGGCGCAUCUAGAAAUAGUGAAGUAGAUUCGAAUGUAGAAUUUUAUCAAACCAUUCUGGUUGACAUUGCAGUGGGAUUUGGAGGAAUGUGAUAUUCAUCUCUUUUGCAUUUGUCCUGGUAAUUUCUCGCUUGACGCCGAGUUCGACAGCUGUGCCCUUUAAAAUCUUCAAUUAUAGGGAGCUUUAUUCUCCUUGGAAGUUGCCUCUUAAAGUGGGUCCUGUUUACUUUAAUGAUAGUGUCGACAUUCAGUCUCUUAACGGAUCAUAAUUCAUCAGAAGAAACAUGACCUCUUGAAAGCAUGUUCUGUGCAAACUAAGUGUCUUCAACGUUAUUAUAAAAGAUCAAAGCAUAGCUUUCAGAACUCAUGUUUGGUCGAAACCAGUCAUGCCUUGGCCUUUCAUAAUUAGUUUCCUGGGUAGGCAUUUCUUUUUGUUGUACCACACUAAACGAAUCAAAUUUCUGAUGAUGUUAAUUGCUUGUGUUACAUUUGCUGAUCAGCUAACUACAAACGUGUAGUAAAAUAGAUAAUUAUUCUAUAACAAUUGAUAUCUUUUUCCCGCAAAAAAACAACAAUUGAUAUUUGAUUUGCAAUGAUUUGAUAAUUCAUUUGGCUUUCAUGUUCUUGAUUUUAACCUGGUCAGUCCAAACAUCACUAGAAGUCUACUGGUAAACAAUGUCGGGUUUUGUUGGCUUUGUAUAGCUGGUUUGAUUGAACAAUUUGGGCUCUAGAAUUAUGAUGUAAAUCAUUUCCUUCCAAUCCAAGUUUAGGCUUGUUUUGCCUCUAUGUUUUUGCUGAUGAUCUUAGUCCAAACAUCACCAGAAGUCCAUCUACUGUUAACAUUGUCAGGUUUUGUUGGCUUUUUGUAGCUGGUUUUAUUGAACAAUUUUGGCUCUAGAAAAAUAAUAAAAAUCAUUCCCUUCCAAUCCCAGUUUAGGCUUGUUUUACCACCAUGUCUUGCUGAUGAUCUUGAUUUUAACCAAGUAGUCCAAACUUCACCAGAAGUCUGUAAACAAUGUUGGGUUUUGUUGGCUUUAUAUAAUGGGUUUGAUUGAGCUAUUUGGGCUUGAAAAAUGAUAAAAGUCAUUCCCUUCCAAUCCAAGUUUAGGCUAGUUUUGCCUCCAUGUUCUUGCUGAUGGUCUUGAUUUUAACCAAGCAGUCCAAACAUCACCGGAAAUAUACUGGUAAGCAAUGUCGUGUUAUGUUGGCUUUGUGUAGCGGGCUUGAUCGAACAAUUUGGACUCUAGAAAAAUGAUAAAAAUCGUUCCCUUCCAAUCCAAGUUGAGGCUUAUCCGAUAUCUGGCAUUUUCUCUGCUGGUUAUUCAGCUUUUGCUUCCAUGUAUUUGAAGAUCUAUCGUUGAACAUUUGUAGGCAUACUUUCUGUUCUUCCCAUUUUUGUUGUGACAACAAAACCGUAGUUUAAAUAUGCUUGAUGUUAAGGCCACAAAUACGUGGAUCCAGAAAUAGUUAAUUAGGUUCGAAUAAAGAAUUUUAUCAUACUAUAUGUCUGAAGUGUAGAUUCUUUUCCUGUUCUCUUGAUUGUCUGCCAGAGUGUGUUUUGACAAUGCUUUAGGCUAUGUUUGGCAGCUUAGUUUUUUAAAUACUGGCACAUAUGGCAUCAAGUAAUAGAGCAGUUCCAUAAACAGGUGUUUCUCCAAUACAAUGGUAUUUUUUAGUAUUUGAGAAAGUGCUCUGCAUCUCCUUUUUCUAAACCGAACUGAGAAAGACUCUGGUAUUAGCAACUGAAGUAUUCAUUGCCCAGGUAUUAAAUUACCAUGGUUUUGGAAUAACUAUGCUAUAGUAUCUGUUUGGUUCUGGCAAGUAUCUCAUGAAUAGUUCUGGCAAGCAUCUCCUGAAUGCUACUCCCUUCGUUUUUAUUUAGUCCGCAUAUUAGCUUUGGUCAAAGUCAAGCUUUGUAAGUUUUGACUAAGUUUAUAAACAAAAAUAUUAAUAUAUACAAUAAAAAUCAAUAUCACUAGAUUCAUUAUUGAAUGUACUUUCACAUCAUAUAGAUUUGUUAUGGUAAAUGUUUAUAUAUUUUUCUAUAAACUUGGUCAAACUUUGCAAAGUUUGACUUCGGUCAAACCUUAUAUGCAGACUAAAUAAAAACAGAGGGAGUACUAAGGUUCUGCCAACAGAUAAAUUUAAUGCCUGAAUGUUUUUCCUGCACUAGAAUAUAAAUUUGGUAAGGCUAGCUAGUUUGCAUGUGAAAACCGUGCCAGUCUAUUAAAUUACUCCCUCUGAUCCAUAUUAAUUGACGUUAAGUGUGCAUCAAUUAAUUUGGAUCGGAGGGAGUAGUAAUGUCAUUGGCCAAAUCAUGAUGUACAUGAUGAUAUGAAUUGUGUCCUUUUGAGCCAUGGUUGAAAAUGAAUGUAUCUAUAACUAAAAUAAGUCUAGAUACAACCAUUUCUAAGACAAGUAUUUCCGGAUGGAGGGAGUACUUAUCUGCUUGCCCAUAUUCUUAGUUGCCUUGCCUCUCUUAUCCUUUUCAAGUAGUGGUGGUAAUGCUGCUUUAAAUGUACCCGUAACCGUCAUCGCAUGAGCUUUUGAGUCUUUUUUUUUCGUUUAUUUAGGUUUAGUGUGAACAGUUAGCCGGUUGCAUGGCUAUGCUGCAUUAUGGCUGCACUCUUACUGUCAUGAAGCUUGUGUUCUGGGGUGUUGGGAACGAUGCCUUUGGUAAUUUGAUUGAAAAAACCAUUAUUAGGCAACUCGUGUCUAUAGUUAUUCACAUGUUGAGCAAGCGAAGUUUAUACUGUGAUGACGCAAGUGAAGUAUGCAUACAAGUUUUCAUUUCCUGUGGAAUCAUAUUGCUUCAGUUCUCAUGGCAUUAUAUUGUUCAAUUCCUCUGUAUCCUGUUUGUUGAGAUGUAUUUUUUCUGGGAAGCUCCAGUUUGACGACUCGACUGGAUUUUUACUGCACCGAUUAUGCAAAGUGAAAACCACCGCGCAGCUGUAAGUGUUUGGGGGUAGAUUUCUGAGAGAAGAGGUAGAUUGAGGUUUUGGUUAUGCAGAGUGCGAUUUUUAGGUGGCACACGGAGCGGUCGGUGGGUCCGGCAACCUAGAGCCUUUCUCUUAGCGGUGCUGACUCGAGCGUGUUUAUGAGCAGCUGAUAUCGAAAGUUUCUUGUGCCUUGCACAAGGUGCGAAUCCUAUUCGCCGACUUGCCGCCCCCCACAAGCAUCCAGCAUGCAAAGUGACCUGGUGCUUUCCUGUGCUGCUAAACGCUAAUCUGCACCCGUAAUUUCCUAGGCGUCGACCCGUUUGCUGUCAGCAUGGACGCCGUUAAGCACGCGUGCUGCCGGUGCUAAACCUGCCGUGUUACGUGAAGAAACGGGCCUGAUCUGACCUGACGUUACACAGAUAUUUCUCCUCUGCCCGAUCUGUCACGGCCGUGUUCUCACCUACCACAGCCGCUGGCCUUCAAUGCUCUUUUCCAAUAGGCAUUUUUUUUCCAAUGCGAAUCAACUUGUGGUUGAGUUGGUUAGGUGGACAGUGGUAUCCUCAGAGCAUGGUUAAUAGUACAGUCAGCUGAUGGUUAUAUGAUAUUGCCAUGUCAUCUAUAGCCAAUCUUAUAGUCUUCAAGUAUAAUAGUAAGAUACAAAGAUGUGCUACUUUAUUAAUACAUGGCCCACCUUUCACUCUCACAUAGUGCUUAGGAGCACGUGCUGCAGCUAGCUCUUAUUCUGUAGCCGGCUCAUCUUCUCUCUCCUCUUCUCUUCCCUUCACGUCAGCAAAAGAACAAUAUUUUAAUACUUAUAGCCUGCUUACAUAAGCUUAUUAUACUUGCUCUCAACUCACUAGGGUUCAAAUCCUGGUGCUUGCAUUAUUCCUGGAUUUAUUUCAGGAUUUCCGCCGAUAGGGAUGAGUGUAUGCGCGUGUAUAUGAGCGCUUGUGUCUGUACUGAUGCUAAAAAAACAGGCAUUUUCUUUUUAAGAGCCCAUGCGGUGCAAGGACGCGGAGGGGACACGUCACGCGCAAUCCGCCGACGACGCGCUCCCGACCCGGCGAUGUGUAUGACUUCCGGGGCCCGCAGGUGCGGCCGCUCCGCUCCCAACGGGCGGGCGAAGACGACCGGCGCUCUCGGUGGGGAUCUGGCCGUUUGAUCCGACGAUGAUUAUCCCUUCCUUCCGCCUCUCUCUCUCUCUCUCUCAAACGGAUUUCCUGCCAUGCACCGGGUCCUUGUACAAUCCAGCGGAACAAAAUCUCUCUUCGGUCCUCGGGUUAGUGGAGAAUUCACGUCUUUGCCCUCCGCGCACACAUCACUGCCCACCUGCCCCUUCUGCCCGCGCUGCCCGCUCCUCUAUCCCUUCUCUCUCCAGCAUCCUCUUUCUCUCCUCCCUCCCAUGGCCAUGGAGUCGGCCUAGCCAGUUGUGCCCGUUGAGAGCGCUCAUAUACCCUCAGAGACGGACCUCCAGAUCUGUGGUCUGUUGUAGUCUCUCUGCUUCCUCAAAACAAGGUAACCUCUCAUGUUUACAUCGCCUUUAUUAACGCAUCUCAACUGCUUUUUACACCUGCUUGUGGUAGUAUGCAUAAUCAUAUCUUUGUUGUUCAUCCUGGUAAUUUACCCUAGCCGCUCAAGGUUUGAGUUGGCACCUGUUCUAGGCUCUGCUCUGCUCUGACAGACCACGGCAAAUUGUGCUAUGAAUUCGUUUGCGUGCACCUGCAGAGUCUGAAACCUUCAGGAUUCAGCACAGAUUUUCUCACUCGCUGAGAGAAAUAAAUACUAGUGCUCUCGUUUUCUGUAUACUCGUUUUUCUCUCUUAUCUUUCCCUGGCACUUCUGUGAGCUUUCUGUUCAGAGAAAAGUUGUGUUUUCACGUCUCUUCUCUGACCUACCAGUAGCGGAGGAUAGGGUGGAGUUUUGCUAGAAUUAGGCGCAACAAAAUCUCUGGGAAGAAUCGCUUUUUUCUGCCGGCCCAAACCUUGUUGGGAAAGUAGAAUGUUGCGGGCGGAGGUUUUAAGGUUUCCUGCUGCUGCCUCUGCCUCUAACUAACGGUAAAAGUAAAGCCUUAUCUCUGACUGACGUGUGUUGAUUUCUCCUGCCUGCCCACGUGUUCAGCCCCUGCAGCCGCGCCCGGAUCGGAUGGACACCGCCAUGCACCCCGCCGGCGGCCUCGCCGACCUGCUUACCGACAACGCCGGCACCGGCACCGGCACCGAGGUAGUACAAAAAUCACAUCUCUCUCUGUCGUUUUACUACGUACUAUUUUCGUGUGUACUUUGAAGUUCUUUUUUCACCCUCGAGUAGCAUGCGUGUAUUUUUUUAUAUAUGAAAGAAAGAUGUGCGAAAGAAAAAAAAAUAUCACGGCCGUUCCAUCCAGCUUUUGUACCGUUGUGAGAGUGAGAUAUGGCUUGGACUUUUCCGGAUGCGGAACCGUGUGGUGCGCUCUAGGCUGCAGUUUUCGGUUGUGGCCUUCAGUUCCGUGUGGGUGGGCCCCUGCCUCAGCCCGCUCCUUGGUCCUUGCUUGCUUCUUUAUUACAGCUCCUUGCCACUCGGCCCCGAAUAUUCGCUCCCCACAGGCCACGCGAAUAUGCCUUCAGAGAUGCUCUCCCUCUCUGAAGAAAAAACUUCGUCAGUGUGUGGCUUGCUUAACCUGCAAGCAGCAGUGCUAGCAGGUGCUUAGGUCAAGUCAAGAGACGGUAUAGCAUAUUAUGCUAUGGUUAAUCACUUUCUUAAGCGUGAGACAGUAUAGCAUAUUAUGCUAUGGUUAAUCACUUUCUUAAGCGUGAGACAGGCUGUCUUUGACGCUAGAGCUGUCGCUCCUGCGGCCCCACCUGCCUGUGCCUGCUCGCCAUUGAGAGUGACACAAGGGACUUUUCUGUAAUUAUUUGGGGUGGGGGGUCCUCUGACUAGAGAUAUUUGUGAUAGGGUCACUUUCUCCUCUCACUGUCCAUGUUUGUCCACAAAGCCAAGGGGCUUCGCUGCAAGUGAGCACCACAUGAUUUUGUCACUUAAGUGCUCCCAACCACAGCAUGGUCCAGAGUAGCAUAAAAGUACAAGGUAUGCAACUGCGUGGACACAUGAUUGUUGUUAUGGAGGCUGUAAUAUUCCAUCUUUGUGGCACUCUGAAAUAGAUUCACAAGACAGAUAGGUUGAAGGUAAACUGGCUGAGCUAUGUAUAAAUAAUAAAACUGAGGUUGUUCAGCCUCUUUACAUGAGGGGUGAGAUCAGGCUUCACAAGCCUUAAGUUUCAGCUGGUCUGCUCCUUAACUGCUAAGCAGCCGGUUCUAGGAUAUCAAACGGGGUUGUUGUUUAUUGAGCCGUGCUCUUGUUGCUUACUAAUAUGAGAUGCUAAGUUUACCAUUAAGAAAAAGGAAUGAUCUGCUGCCAUGCCCCUCGUUAUUUACUAGCUUUUGGCCACUUUACUAAUCCUUUGUUCUUGUGUUGUGCUUGUGGGUUUUUAAGCUUUGUUUCAAGCUUUGGUCUGGAUGCUGUUUGUGCUUGUGGGUUUUUCAGUUUUGUUUCAAGCUUUGGUCCGGAUGCUGGUUUUUUGACUUAACUAUGUUUGCCUGAUCCUUGUACAGGGCAUUAUUUGUGGCAUGCCAGACUUCAAGAUGGGUGGAAAGAGGGGCGAUGAAUCUGCCCCUACUGAUGCUGGUGAUGAAGAUGGCGAAGAUGAUGACGGGGAUGAGGAUGGUGACUUCGCGGAGGGCGAAGAGGAAAUCUCGGAAGGAGAGGAGUAUGACAACCCCAAGGCCAGUGACGCCAAGAAGAAACAAAUAGGCGAGGGUGAGGAGAAUGGCGAGGAUGAUGAGGAAGAACAAGAGGAGCAGGACGGUGGAGGAGGUGACGACGAUGAUGAUGAUGACGACGAUGAUGACAAUGAGGACGACGACGAUGAUGACGACGAUGUCGCUGCUGAAGACGAUGAGGAUGGAGUAGAAGAGGAGGAUGACGACCAGGACAACGACGAUGAUGAGGAGGACGAUGACGAGGACUCGCUCCAGCCCCCGAAGAAGAAGAAGAAGUGAAGCCCUUCGACGCGGCUGCUUUAGUCACCAUGCAAUGAGAUGUGCCUGUUCUUCACUGUGUUCUGGAAACUUUCCUUAGAGUUAAAAAUGCCCCACACGAUCACAAUGUGUGGGCUUGUAGGAGCGAUUAGAGGGAACUUUGUUGUCACCGUUGCUUUGCUUCUGUGGAGUUGAUCGAACAGAUGUUUCGCUAACAUAAUUGUACCUGAGUGGCGAAAGCCUCAAGAUUUGAAUAUGUCAGUCAACUCUUUUUAUCUCCUUCCGGCAUCGUUCUGUGCAAUCUUGUUCAGAACACAUUGUGUUGGUAGCUCCUUAAAUAAGGCCAAAUCACAUUGUUGAUAGCUCCUGGAUUUAUCGUGGGUGCUGUCUGGUUUCUGCAUAAUUCUGCUGAUGAUGGUGACUAGAUGAUUACGCUAAUGUCUAGAUAUAUGGCUUGUUAGUGUAGUACCCCCUCUGUUUUAAAAUAAUUGUCUCAACUUUGUACUAACUUAUUUUAAUAUAAAAUUGUACUAAAGUUCUGACACUUAUUUUAAGACGGAAGGGGUAUUUUCUAUAUAAUUAAACAGAACACAUCUCUGUCCAAAAGAAAAUAAAAGAACAUCUCCCUUGGUCUUUGCACACUGUCCAAGCGGCAUGGCUCAGAUGUCACACCCAUAGGCGUGAUCUAGGAAGGUGCCAAAGUGCCACUUGAUGCCACCCUUCAGAGAAGUAAGAAGCGUUACAUCCCUGAUAGGAGGUUUCUUUUUCCCUUUGGCGGUUGCGAUUGAUAAGGCAAUCAUCCUCUCCAAGCUUCAUCAAGGAACCCAUGGAGCGGCCAAUGGCAGGAAAAGGAUCCCAGUGCCUCGGCUCUGACUAAUAGUUUAGGUUAGGUGACCGGUGGCGGGAGAGGAUCCCAGUGCUCCGUCUCCGGCUAGUAGUUUAGGUUAGGUUUUUUCUCGUAGGGGCGCUAUUUGGGUGGAUGGUGGCGUUUCAUCUUUGAGCUAGUCUUUUCGGCUCUGAUUCACCUCGAGUUUGUCCAUCGGGACGGAAUCAACGGAGCUAUGGCCUAGAUUUCCGUCGUUUCCUUGGGUCACCGGGAUUAGGGUUUCUCGCCGUUCGUGUGCGACGACGAGAUUUUGCGUCGGGCGCUUUAGAUUGAUUCAAGGGUUCAAUUUGAUGACUGCGGCUAUGAGGCGCAGGUCCUUAGGUACACGUGCACUAAGACUUUCCGGCUGUUAUCGACAAGAUUAAGCGACUCCUAUAGGGAAACAGUGAAACGGUGUGUAGCUUGCUCUAGGUGGUGCAAAGUCCUUGAUGUAAUCAUUGUUGCGUUUGGGAUGCUUUGUACAUCUUAUGAACCUUUAUAGUAUUAUUUGGGUCAUUUUUCGCCAAAAAAAAACACUAGAGAGUGGCUUAUAUUUAGAUAUAGAAAAUUAAUUCAAAUUACAAACAUUAAAGAUCAAUGAACUUGUAUGUUGAAUUCCAAUACUAUGAUGCAUUAUCGUGUAUCUAUCUGGUAUUGUUGACAAGCUUUAAACUUAUGUGUCUACAAGUCCAAAUAAAUGUAUGCGCUCUUAAAUUUGUAAGCGCUGCUACACGGACGAUAAAUUUACGGCCGACGCCUGCACGAUCCUACUUGGCAGAGUCAAGAGCUAGCAUGCAUGCAGGAAGCGAUGUUGAGGAGGACGCAUCGUUCGCGGAUCGUGCAGACAGUGUCGUGUGUAAAGCAAUUCCGUAAAUUUGUGGCUCAAUUUUUCUUGGUCACAAGAUAGCCAGUUGUCCAAGGUCUUUUCCCAUAUGAGUUUGAUUAACGUAUGCAAAUUUAUACUAAAAAUGAAAAUUUCCAUGCAUUGCAACGGGCAUAAAUAGGUUAACCCAUGAUUUAUCUGCCCAUAUUAAUUUGGUUAUGCAAAAGAAAUAUGAUUAUCACAGAAGACAAAAAUUUAUUUGGUAAAUAAGAGGUGGGGCAGUUAAGGCGUCUGUCAAGAAAACCCGAUGGAAAAUCAGAUAUGGGAGAGGAAAAAAUCAAAUAGGGAGAGAAGGAGGUGAGAAAGCAAACAUAGGUAAGAUUGAACAAAAUAGGAGGGAUUUUUAAAUAGUACGAUGCAUUUAGAAUUACAAAUGAGGCAAUUUGGUACUCUCAUAUAGUCAUACUCAAACUCACUUGUAUCUAAAGCAUGCCACGUGACAAACCCUAGCCACCAACAAUCUCCUCACCCAGUACGUUGGUUCUCCUCCCCGUCAGACUUCUUGUCACUGAGACCGGGGAUCUGGAUCCUGUGUAGAUUAAAACUUUCUAUGUUAAUUUUGUGCAUCCUUGGCGGUGAGGUAGCCAAGGUGGGGGCGACAUAGUGUGGAAUAAGUAAUUAUCGUUUGCAAACUCCAUCCUCAUCCUGGCAUGUCUAGCUUUCGCGGCCAACAUCGGUGAGCUAGUGGUAUUUUGGGAAAAAAAACAUUUCAUCAUAGUGUGAUCAUGGUCUUUUCUUUCAACAAUUUUGGCAAUGAAGUGUUGGUUUGAUAACCUGCCUUAUGAGGAUGUGUCUUUAGGUACGGUGCACUCAAUGGUUUAAGAUUUUCACCACUGACGGUGGACGGUUGAUGUGGCUAUUCAAAACUUUCGAAGUUGGUUAAUCUUGUGCAUGUAUGGUCUUAUGCGGUUUGUUUUCCAAGUGCGAAGAAGAACAUCAGGAUGUGAUUGGUGGAGCUAGAGAUGACUAAAUUAGAGUGUUCUAAUAUAAUUUUUAAGUCCAGUAAUGUUCUUUGCUAGUCAUGUUUGUUCAUUCCGUCUUUGAUCCGUUGUAAGUCUUCAUUUUGUUAAUAAACUAACAUCUUGGGUCUAAAAGAAACAUGUCACGUAGAGGGGAAAACACUUAAGAUGGAGAUAAAUACCAUCAUAUCUUAUCAAGAUAUUGCUCCUAUCAUGGAACCUGAAGUUGUAAAAUGCAAAAGGCAUUAGUCCACCAACUUGGGGGCUCAUGUUAAUAAGCCUUGCUCGGACUGACUGCAUCUACAUGGCGCGCCGUACUCGCAAAUCAAUGAAAGUGACAAUGGGCAGGGCGUCGUGUACUUGUUGCGAUUGUAUUUUAAGCGUUUUCCCAAAUCCUCAUUCUCGGUCUUUCCACUCGUCCGCCUCUCUUAUUUCUUUAAAAAAAUCACGUGUAAUUUUAUUCAAAGCCAACAACCAUUACUUGUACAAUGUUUUGGAUCAUAGACCCAAAAAUUGCAGAAUAACUCCUACACUAAAAUUACAAUAAAACAUCUUGAAGAUUUAGUCUCUGUAGCGACAAUCCUCACAAACAUGAACUACUACCAAGGCCUCCAUAAAUACAAGAUCAGCCUCUUUUGUCUGUGUAGCGACGACUAAGGUGCAUGACAAAGAACAACCUCACCUUAGGUAUCCACUCCCAUGACUUCUUCUCGCAGGAUCAGGGCCGGCAACAGAGCUACAAAUCCAUCAUGGUAGCCCGCCUCAGCCCUUAAUUCGACGGCGUUUUUUGAAAAGUGCCUCGAAAGCUUUUCGGCGAUUUGCAGAAGUGCCGCUAAACUCCAGCAACACUUGGGCUGAAAUGGACAGGCCCGUUAGCGCAGGCUCCUUCUCCCGUAGCUGUUAUCCUGAAGCAACCUGAUUGCCCUGUCGUAAGGCGAUAUAUGAAGGGGUUUUUCAGAGUCCUGAAGGAACUAACCAGUUCAUCAAGUCAUACAUAGUGGACCUGCAAACUAUCGCUGCUGUGGGCAGUGGUCAGGAACAACAUCAAGCGGCGAGACCUAGCCACUGGAUUGCACCACCGGACACGUAUGCGAAGAUCAAUGUGGAUGCGGCGACCGCAACCAACCGAGGAGUUGCUGCUGCUAUCUGUCGAGAUCAAGCUGGCAUUUUUCAAGGUGCUUCGGCUCUGGUUAUCAAGGGAACCAAUGAUCCACCAACGCUCGAAGCAUUAGCAGUCAGAGAGGCUUUGGCGCUUGCCGAUGAUCUUAAUAGCCGCAGAAUACAUGUCGCUUCUGACUGCAAAGAUGUACUGAACGACAUCAAGAACAAAACACCGGCUAUCUAUGGAGCUAUUCUGCAUGAAAUCAUAGAUCAUAGUUCCACUUUUAUUUCAUGUACCUUUGUGCAUGAGUUUAGGAGCUCGAAUUUCGAGGCUCACAAUCUUGCGAAGCAUAGUUUGAAUUUGGGGGUUGGCCGCCAUGUGUGGUUAGGCAAUCCUGGUAAUCUUUCUUUUGUACCUUUGAACAUUGGCACAAGUUAAAUAAAGCUUUGCGUGAUUGUCUCAAAAAAAAAAAAAAACCUGAUUGCCCUGUCUUUUUAAGGUGGUCAAGCUACUGUUCCCUAAGCAGUAUGGGACUAAAACUGCUUUGCCUGAGACGCAGCGACCGAACUGAUUGGUCAGCACCGCCGCCAAAAUACAACUACUCCAUCAUAUGAAUCUUCAGGAACCAUGCAUCAUUAGCUUCGCCUGUUCAGGUUGAGAUGACAAAUUCGUUUAAUUUUGUUUUCAGCAAGUGACGAGGCAGAUUUUUUGUAUUUCUCUCCCAACUCCGGCGACACGUGUACCGGCGACCAUAACUUCUAUAUUUCUUCCCUGCUCAGAGACAAUGAAUCAUCGAUUUUACACCGCUGGGCCUCGUCGGAUUGUUCGAACACAGCACAUCUUGUGUGUAACAGCUGAUCACCGACCAGUACACCAAGGUAGCUGUCUGUACUCCAAUGGGAAGGGACGUCUUUUAACAUAUAUAUACACAGGCAUGUCUCACGGUCCAAAACAACGUCACCGUCUUCUCCAGCGCCGGCGUUCGGCUGCCUCGACGUUGCGAUUAAACGGCGACACCCGCGAGCUGAGAGUCUCAUUCAUGCACAUAGCAGCAGCUCGGCCACCUGCGGUCACCACCUUCAUUCCGAGGCAAUUUUCUAAAACGCCUUCAUAGCUCAUCAAUCCGAGGCACUUUUCUAAAUCGCCUCCAUAGCUACAUCAAUCCGAGGCACUUUCUUAAAUCGCCUCCAUAGCUACAUCAAUCAGAGGCAGUUUCCUACAACGCCUCCAUAGCUGCAUCAAUCCGAGGCACUUUCCUAAAACGCCUCCAAAACUGAUCAAUCCGAGGCGUUUUCAAGGUGCCCUUAAAAAAAUGCCUUGAAUCAACGACCGUGGUGUAGUGUGUGUGUCGGUGCACAUGGAGUGGGACGGACAUUGGCCAGAUGUCCACAAAUGGUACACUACUUAUCAAGGCUUCUACGACAGAGAUGCGUUGGCAUCAUAGUGUCUAAGGGUCCGCGAGGGUAGUGGUGAUUCGUGAGUAAUAACAUUGUUUUCCCGUCCAGUUACGUGUUUCAAGAUCGUCCUUGGUCGGGAUAACUCCUCUUCAAAGAUACCAUAGAAAAAUCAUUAUUUUUUAGAGGAACUUGUAUUUUUCCAAAUUGAUCCCUUAUUGCCAACUGGCGAGUUGAAAGAUACAAGCACACGAUACAUUGGGACAACUGAGAGCGGAACUCAUUGCACCCUUGCAAUAUGGACAAAUGCCUCGGAGCGCACUUUCAGCGCACGGCGUCAACGGUGCACUUUAUCUGCCGCGUUCGUGGCGUGCAUCGAGAUGUAACUAAGGUCUGCCAGCCUGUUAUAUAGCUACUGCAACUGACAAUAUACUAUUCGUCCUACAGAGCAUAAUACCCGUGCCUUGGUCCAGUAUAACAUGCGCAGCUAUAUGUGUGCCACCGUGCAUUCUUAACCUAUCCUAGGUUUGGAACUAGUUCGAGCUGAGAGUGGUAUCUGUUCUUCGCACACAUUGUGCCGGAGCUUAAAUGCUGAUAUCGCACUGGAGACUGGAGUCUGAUAGACCCCACUAGUUUCGGGUGAGCAGUGGCACCGGUUCUCUAUAUCUUUCGUGUGUGGGGUGGUGGUCAUCGUCACAACACAAAAAACACGCGAGGAGCGCCGAUCUGCCAUUCGACAAACUUCAGAUGUUAAUGGAGUUUGUCGCCAUGGAAGGAAAUCUAAGGUACAUAUUGAAAUUUGCAGUUGCUUAGUUUAUAGUCCCAAACGUACUAUCGAUUGUCAAUCAUAUGGCUUUUGUAGAUCUCCUUCAAGCUUGAUCCCGCACGGAUUCACAUCGUGCGAUCGUGAUCUGGAUGUGCUCGCCACCCCAACAAAGUGCGCGUCCGGAUCAUCACGAGCAUGCUCGAUCAGUUGCUGAAGUUGUUCUAGUCCGUCAAGAAAUUUGCUGAUUGAUGGUGGAGAGGGUGAACUAGAUGCCAUGCGGGUAGCAAUAUCCAGGCUGCAGCGGCAACGUAAGAUGAUGCUGUUCGCACUGCUAGCGUGCAUAGUGAUCGGCGCUAGCGUCCUCAUCCAUUUUGGAGACUGAAAGCUGAUCUGGUGAAUUUGUUAGAAUAUGUCUAGCCUGAAUGCAAUCGAACACGGUUGUUAUCAUGGGACUUGCUUGCUCUAGUGUAUGCUUGGAUUAUAUUUCUCAAGCAUUGUAUCCGUUUGAACAAAGCGUACCAAUAUGUAUGUGUAUGGCCCGUGGGGCUUGCUGGCUGUAAUGUCUGGUUUAGUUAUAUUUUUUAAGCAUUGUAUGCGUUUGAACAAAAAUCGUAUAUUGCACCGAGUUCACAGCUAGAAGAAAAUGCAAGAAAUCUUGAAUGUUGUCAGGGACGGGCGUGACCGAAAAUAAUUCUGAAAAAUAUAUCAAAGCCGACUAGGGUACAUUCCUCUCCUGAAUACUGACAUGCUGAACUCCGAAAAGAUGACCACAGAGUGUUUAUAGAUGAUCUGAUAUGCUGCACUGCUGUGUUAUGUGCAUCGGAUCGGUUCCGUUCAAGCUUCAGAAUUUCGUGCAGGGUGGCGAUGCGUGCCAAUGCUAUGUGUUUCCUGUUGGAAUGUACAAUGAACGGCCGGAUCUUCUUGUGGCAAUGGAUCCGCGGCCGCCUACCGUCCGGCGUGGAGGUCCUCAAGCGCCAUGGGCCUGGGGAUGGGAUGUGCCCCCUAUGUGACACGGCGGAGGAUGCCAAUCACAUCUUCUUCUCCUGUUGCACGGCACAGUUCCUAUGGGCGUGUUUUCGCGAAACGGUUGGGGGACAGUGGUGUAAUAACAACUUCCCCGACUUGCUUGCGGAAAUCCAGGCCUCCCCUCCUCGCUACAGACAUAUUAGAUGGCUGUGCGUUGGGGUGCUGGCUUGGACGUUGUGGACGGUUCGCAAUAAGCUUGUCAUUCAGAAGGUGCCUCUUCGACGUGCGACUGACUCCAUCUUCAAAAUGUGUGGUUACUUGCAGCUCUGGCGGCCGCUUAGCCGCCCUCCGGACCGGGAUGCCAUCGACAGACUCCUCUCCGACCUUCGUUCGUUGGCCUUCCGCCUGGCUCCGCCGCUCCCGCCGCCUCCCCCGGAGCCCGACUAGAGGCGUCUCUCUCCCGGCGUGUGUGCCGCUUUUUGUGUGUGUGUUGGGCUUGUUGAGCUGUGCCCUCAGCACUAACCCUUGAUGCUUGUUUGUUCCUGGACUGUGUGUGUGUGUGAACCUUGGUGGUGUGAACCUUGUGGAUGUUGGCUUUGGCAUUGGUUUUAUCUAUAAAGCGGGGCGUGAGCCUUUUUCGGUAAUGUACAAUGAACGUGAAUACUCUGUGGUAUGGACUUGUUCCAGUACAAAAUUCAUCUACAUACCUUUGUGGUCGGGCUCUGAAGAUUGUCGCCGUCGGUAUUUCCUCGUGAUGUAAAUCGAACAAAUGCCUGACUGCUCACUGCAGAGCGAGCAAGCUAACGUAAGUAUAUUCCUUCUUGUUUUAUGAAGCUUGGCUAAAUCAUAAGAUCAAAAUGGGGGUCUUGAUAUUACCUUGAGAACUUUUCAGUCAUUACCGUGGGGUAUGCUCUAGUCCAUCCAAUAGAAUUGCAAGGCAAGCUAGAGUACAUUGAUUCCGCACAUUUGAAAAAUGCCCUGGGGGAAUAAUCCUACUACCUUGAAGCAUUCGCAAUUGACUCUGCUUGAAUUCUCGUCUAAUGGCUUCGAUACUAUGAAUUCAGCGGCCUGUGUUAAUUAAUCUGAGGUGAGGUUAAUUAAUCUAAUGGCUUCGAUACUACGAAUUCAGCGGCCUGUGUUAAUUCAGCGGCCUGUGUUAAUUGUACAUCCUUCAAUUCUCGUCUAAUUGACCCAUAGCUUACAAAAAAAAUCGGUGCCGUAUCAUGAGCUGUGUUAAUUAAAAAAAUAGUGUUACGGGUGGGUCUAUUAAUACAUUCACCAUCAUUAAUGGUGGUCGACGACGAGGGCCUGUGUUUUUUAGAUUUUGAGAAACAAAAGGACGCAUCCCCUGUUCUGCCAAAACAAAUGAAUGCAAUGCUAGAGUGGCAAAGAAAUUUUUUAAAUAAAUGCUCGGUAAGGGCACGCUUCAUGGUACAAAUGUUACCUGAGGUGAGGUGGCACUUGUUGCAACCAGUUCCAAAAUGCUCCCCCUUAAGGUGCGAGCUAUGCACUCUACAACAUGGACGACCGCGGGGGUCCAGGACCAAAAUCAGGGCAAUACGGUGGAAACCGCGUGAGAUACUGCAACGUGGAAUGAACUGCAAUGUUCUUAUACACAGGCGCAGUUAAUGCUUGCCGUGCACUGAAGUCACUUUUCGCUCUGGUCCAUCUCUUUAACGCCUGCUCUCCCUUCCCAUUUUUUUCUCCUCUAGCCCUUAUUUGCUUCAGGAGAGCAACACUUAGUCAAAUGGGGAAGCUAUAGUGGGACCACCUGUGGACACCGGCACCGCCGCACAACUCGUCGUCGCCCAACUGCGGGACCACAUUGUCAUCCAUGGCACCUCCCCGCGGCCUUGCCUCCCUCCCUCACCGUCUCCAGCGAGAUUUUAACAUACUUUGUUCACCUUUUCGUCUUACCCAUCGCUUCUCCUCGACUUCCAGCAAAGCCGCACCACGCAUGGAGGGAAACCUACAUAAGGAAAUAUAGUGAAACCUGACUGCCCACCGCCAUCGCCAAUUCUGAAGAAUCAUUGCAUAUCGGACCACGUCAUCAUGCCACUAGGAGAAGGAUGAAGAGAAGAAGCGCCCAAGUCGUGGCCCUGUGGAGGACGAAUUUUGUCUACUUUGUCGAAUGAUCCAUCGUUGCACGUUCACGUCGCGCGCGAUGAGCCUCUACCAUAAGCUCAUGGCCAUCACCUAGAGGCGGAAAAGUCAUCGUUGACCUUGUAGAAGGAAGAAGGAAGAAGGAAGAAUAAAUUACAAAAGAAGCUUUCAUGUGGGGUCAGGUUUAUUUUGGGAUUAAGUUUGGAGGUUGGCCUAGACGACAAAAGUGUAACCCUCAAUAUAAGAAAUUGAAGGAUGGGGGAUGAGAUGGGGGCAUUAAAAAAAUAGGUAAAUACAUCCGUGGUGCUUCAACUUGCCACGAAUGUUCAGUUUAGUGUCUGAACUUGAAAAAUACAUCGAAAUGGUUGUAAAACUUGGCACGAACGUGCAAAUACGGUGCUAAUCACAUCCGUCGACGUAAUGUGCGUCNNNNNNNNNNNNNNNNNNNNNNNNNNNNNNNNNNNNNNNNNNNNNNNNNNNNNNNNNNNNNNNNNNNNNNNNNNNNNNNNNNNNNNNNNNNNNNNNNNNNNNNNNNNNNNNNNNNNNNNNNNNNNNNNNNNNNNNNNNNNNNNNNNNNNNNNNNNNNNNNNNNNNNNNNNNNNNNNNNNNNNNNNNNNNNNNNNNNNNNNNNNNNNNNNNNNNNNNNNNNNNNNNNNNNNNNNNNNNNNNNNNNNNNNNNNNNNACGAUCGACAAUUUUAGUAGCAGCGAUGAGUAAUUAACAACGAGAUUAGAUCAAUAUAUGUACUCGGCCCCCCUAUACUCGAAUCCUGGCUCCGCCACUGACCGUAUAUGACUGAUGUGGCACAGACAUGAUGUGGGGCCCACUUAUAAUUAUGAAACAUAAUUACUGGAAUGGUAAACGUCUCUAUGAUUAGUGGGCCCUCCUGUCAGUACCUUAGCAAAAAUAAAAUAAAAAUUGCAAAAACUGGGAUCGAACCAGCAGCCUGAUGGCACAUUGCCUGCGCUAGCCACCAAAUAGAACAAGUUUUCACAUUAAACUAGGCCCCUUAAGCAUAAUAUACUUAACCACAAACUCCUGUGUCCUGAAACGGGAUGCAGCCAGCGGCCCAUAUUGCACACGUUAUUUUUUUACAGUAAAUAAUACGUAAAUAAUAAUCAUAAUAAUAAAAAUACGAUUCAAAUAUUCAUGUGUUAUAAGAAAGUACUCAUGCCACACAAUUAUCCAUGUGCACACAAAGUAAAUAUAUAGAGGUAUACCCNNNNNNNNNNNNNNNNNNNNNNNNNNNNNNNNNNNNNNNNNNNNNNNNNNNNNNNNNNNNNNNNNNNNNNNNNNNNNNNNNNNNNNNNNNNNNNNNNNNNNNNNNNNNNNNNNNNNNNNNNNNNNNNNNNNNNNNNNNNNNNNNNNNNNNNNNNNNNNNNNNNNNNNNNNNNNNNNNNNNNNNNNNNNNNNNNNNNNNNNNNNNNNNNNNNNNNNNNNNNNNNNNNNNNNNNNNNNNNNNNNNNNNNNNNNNNNNNNNNNNNNNNNNNNNNNNNNNNNNNNNNNNNNNNNNNNNNNNNNNNNNNNNNNNNNNNNNNNNNNNNNNNNNNNNNNNNNNNNNNNNNNNNNNNNNNNNNNNNNNNNNNNNNNNNNNNNNNNNNNNNNNNNGCAAUGUAUAGAAAUAUUAACUUAUUAUUUAGAAAAUACUAUUUUUAGAACAAAAUUAUUAUUUAUAAAAUAUAUUUUAAAUUUUAUUAUUUAGAAAAAUAAUUAAACACUCAUGGAUUAUAUUAAAAAAGUAUUUUCAAAUAACAAAUUAAUAUUUCUAAAAAUUACAGAAACAUUUUUAAGUAAGAUAUUUUAUUACAAACCUCUAUAUAUUUAUUUUGUGUGCACACGGAUUAUAUAACACAUGAAUAUUCAAAUCUAGCUUUUAUUAUUAUGAUUAUUAUUGACAUACUUCUUACAUUACAAAAUAAUGUGCACAAAAUGGGCACAGGCUGCAACCCAUUUAUGUAUGCAGGAGUUUUCGGUUCACAUACAUUAAGCAUGAGGGGGUUACAUUCUCUUGAAAACAUGUUUAGUGGAAUGGUGAGCGCAGGUAUUUCCCAAUCGUUAGGUCGCAGGUUCAAUGCCCAUCUUAUAUAUUUUUAUAUUAAUUUUCUUACUAAUUACUUACCGACAGAUGGCCCCAUUAGUCAUAGGGUUAUAUAUAGUACUCAAGUAAUUCAGUUUUGUAACUAUAAAUGGGCCUUACAUCAUGUCAGCCAUACCGUUUUGGACGGUGGUGUUCCUGCAUGGCUUCCCGGAGAUAUGGUACUCGUGGCGCCACCAGAUGCAGGCCGUGGCCGCCGCAGGGUACCGCGCCAUCGCGCCGGACUGCCGCGGGUACGGCCUGUCGGACCAGCCGCCGGAGCACGAGGAGCCCUUCUGGGAGGACCUCGUCGCCGACGUGCUCGCCAUCCUCGAUGCCCUCUCCAUCCCCAAGGUAAGCAGCACCACCGAAGAAAACCAUGGCCCCAAGUCCCAACUCCCAAGCGUCCAUGAGUGACCGACGUCUCGUUUCCUUUCCUCGUGCGUGCGUCCGUGAGUGCAGGUGUUCCUGGUGGGCAAGGACUUCGGUGCCAUGCCGGCGUACGACUUCGCGCUGCGGCACCCGGGACGCACCCGGGGCGUGGCGUGCCUGGGCAUCGCCUUUAGCCCUGUGCCCUUCGACUUCGAUGGCAUCAUGCCGGAGGGCUUCUACCCGCUGCGGUUGUCGGCGUUCUGGAAACGGGGUCCCCAGACUUGCCUGCUUAUGGCCUGCGGCGUGGCUUAAAGGGGGCUCAACACGGCCCAUCUUCAUCACUACAAACUCAAGACCCUCGCGAGGGGCCAAGCCUCGCGGGACGGACGACGCGAAGCUUUCUCUGACAUGGCCUCAUCAGGCUGGCUCGCAAGGAGAUGGAGAGAUCAAGGCGGGGUACCUCACGAGGUGCCCGUGACGCAAGCCAUGAUGACCAAGAGCGCCAGGCGGGUGCCAGCCCGCGCAGUGUUCUCCUUUCCCCUUUGAUGCAAAGGGGGCAAGCGCAGCCGUGGAGUACCGAGGCAUCAGGCAAAGGUUGCCAUUUCGGUGCAACAAGACCAAGACCAGGUCAUUGUGGAGCCCAAGACGGCGUCACCACCAGAGUUUUGUGCAGGCGAAGACUAUUUUGUUAGGAUAACUGGUACUAGCUGUCCCCUUUCAAAUUAGCCCAUCAUUGUUGGCUCCCUUCCCGCUCGAUAUUUGGGAAGAGGAUCAGGGCCUCUAUAAAUAGGACCAGCCACCCGCAGGAUGGAAAGAGGGGGGAGAGAGGCAUCAUCAGUUGUGAAGAGAGAGAGAAGGGUGACUGGACUCCUCCCAGCAGUUCAUUGCCCCAGCCAAGAACAGACCCUCACAAGGUUGUUCUUCCUUGUAUUGUUCGUCACCAUCAGCCCAAGAGGCAAUCCACCACACCACACACUGGAGUAGGGUAUUACACCACAAUGAUGGCCCGAACCAGUAUAAACUCUGUGUCUCUUGUGUUGUUCUUUUCAUAGCUUAGAUCUUAGCGUGGCGGAGGGGUGCAGGUAGGUAGGAGGCGAAAUCUCCACGCGCACCUCAGUGUUCGAACCUCAAGGGUCUGCUGGAACCCGAAAUCUGACAUUUGGCGCGCCAGGUAGGGGUGCGCCGGAAUCCACCUUCUCCCGCUUCGUGCCCCGUCGCGUCGUCAUCACCAUGUCCGGCGACCAGGCGGGCAACCCAGAUCCAUGGGCGGCGUGGCCCGCCCGCGCAGAGCCGCUCGCCUCGGGCGACCCCGUGCCCCAGGCAGCUCGCGGUCCGCAGGGCGCUGCGGGCCGCGGGCGACGCGGACAGGCUUCGACAGCUCUCACACCGCGGCAGGCGCGGUCGGCAGCAAGGGCCUCCAAUCACGUCGCGACCACGACACCGUACACCCGCCGGGAGCAGGCGAACUCGAGGGCCGCGCUCACGGUGGCCCGAGAGCUGCUGCAGUGCAGGCUGCUGGAGGGCGGCCGCGACGUGCUGCUGGAGCGGGUGGCAGAGCUCCUGGGCUUCGCCGCCUCGGGGGCUCACCCCUUCUGCACCCAGCUCCCAUCUCAAGCCCAGGGCGGCCCGCGCGGGGGCUCCGCGCGCGCCCGCGGGCCCCAAGGCUACUCCAACGCCAGCGAAGCUGUCAGGACCGGACCGGCGGCGGCGCCGCCCCCGCUCCCGGUCCGCGAAGAAGAAGGACUCGACGCGACCCACGGCCCCAGUGGACAGCCGCGCUGCCACCCCACGGUGGACGUGUCAGGCAGGACCGUGUGGCACGCGGGGCACUACGGCGUGGCCUUCGGGUUGACGGCGCUAGAGGAAUACGUGUCCCUCAUGAUGGACCAAGAACACCCUCACGAGAGCGAACAAGGCUCGCUCCACAGCCCAGGCUGGGGGACGAGGCGUCAGAAGCUGAGCCUUUCCAGGAGCCCUGGGGCGGUCCCACUGGCCGUGCUGGAGGCAACGAUUAUCGGGUACCGCUAAUUCUUCAGGAGCAGGCAUACGCAUCCACAUUGUCUUCCACCCAGUGCGCCAGGUCGUCUCGGACGGCCUAGGGGACUGGGGCGAUGGCGGCGUCGAAAUCGAAGUGGGGAUCCAUGUUCCGGAGAUGGCUGAAGACGCGAGAAAAGGCGCGCCCGAGCAGGGCGCGGCUCCUCUCCUCCACCAACCUGUCAGCCCUGACCGACCGCGCCUCCAGCUGCGUCACCACGUCAGUGAAGAACUGAAAAUUGCCGGCGUAGUUGACUGCGUGCGGCUCGCCAACAGCCACCUCGCAGAUGUUGCCCAAGGCUGUGUUGGCUCUCUCUCGGAGCGUGGUGAGCAUGGGGCCGUGCUCAUGCUCCAGGAUCCGCCGCUGACGUAUCUCGUCCGCAUUCUGGCGCGCGACGGCCUCAGCCUCCUCCACCCGCUGGCAAAAAAGGAGCACCUCGGCCUGGGAGGUGGUUAACUCACCUUGCGCCACCUCAAGGGCGGCCCGGAAAGCAUCGCCCGCCGCGUCGCCUCCUCCAGCUUGGCCCUCAAGGUGGCAGUCCUGCCUUCAGCUUCGGCCCGGAUCAACCCCAGCUUCUCUUCGAACUCAUGCUCGAGGUUCAAAUGCGCCAUCGCCACCCGACGUCCGACCUCCUUCAGGACACGGGCUUCCUGUGCAGCGACAUCAUCCUCCGCCUGCGUCACCAAGCGCUCCCUCGUCUCCAGACGCUCGUACUCGCGGGUACGUUCGGCGGCUUCCAGCGUCAGCGCCUUCUCACGCUUCUGGAGCUCUGCUGAGUCGCCAGAGGCCACCUUCAUCGACGCAAGGGCUGCCUCACGCAGCUCCACCUGCUCCUCCAAUGAGUGGCACCAGGCCAGGAGCUCCAGAGCCCGCUCCUCCGUCGCCUUUCGCCGCCCGUCGGCCUCCCGGGCCUCCUCAGCGGCCCAAGAUCGGGCCUCCCGAGAGGCCACCAGUGACACCUUGGCCUCUGCGUCGUCAAGAUCGCGCUGACGGCGCGCAAGGGCGAUGGCGCCCUCCAGCUCGCGCCUCUCCGCAGCCAGGCGCAGGCCCUCGGCCUCAAGGCGUGCGUAUUCAUCAGUAAGCUCCUCACCAAGCAGGCUCACCGCGUCAGCCGCCCUUCGAAGGAAUCCUUGGCGGAGAGCGCUGAAAGGACAUGCGGUGCCCCCAUGUGUGGUUUUGGUAAUUGAUGACAAUCUCUAUGGACUAACGGAUGCCUUGAGUUAUAUUUGAAGGAUUUGUCCAUGUGUUGUCUUGAAGUCCAUGUGUUGGUUUCAAGGAGUUUAUGAGAUGGCCAAAGUGCUUUUCACGGAAUUAUCCAAAGAUUGGUCAUGUGUGAGUUGAGAUGGCCAAAGUGCUUUUCAAGGAAUUAUCCAAAGAUUGGUCAUGUGUGAGUUGAGCUUAUUGCAAGCAUGUCUUGAAGAAGAAGAUUGUGUGAUCAUUCAUGGUUACCUUCAAGAAUCAUCCAAAUGAGAGUUGGAAAGAUUCAAUGUUGAUCAAGACUAAGUCAAGAGUGAAUCAAGUUGAUCAACUCACAAAGCAUAGAAGAAGUACCGAGAGGGAUCAAGUGAUCCCAUGGUACGGUAAGCAUUGUCCAUUACGCUUUGUGUACUAACCCAUGGUCUACGUGAGAGUUCUUUGUGGGGUUAGGUGUAUUUCCAUGGUCUUGCGUCAAGAGGAAGAUCUCAUACAACCCAUGGAGGAUGACAUCAAGUGGUGAUCGUCAUCAAGUUUGCAGUGUGCAAGUUCAAGUGGAGCAACUCGAAGAGUGGCUCACCCAUAAUGGAUUAUGUUGGGGAACGUAGCAGAAAUUCAAAAAUUUCCUACGUGCCACCAAGAUCUAUCUAUGGAGAGACCAGCAACGAGUAGAAAGAGAGUGCAUCUACAUACCCUUGUAGAUCGCUAAGCGGAAGCGUUCAAGUGAACGGGGUUGAUGGAGUCGUACUCGUCGUGAUUCAAAUCACCGAUGAUCCUAGUGUCGAACGGACGGCACCUCCGCGUUCAACACACGUACAGCCCGGUGACGUCUCCCACGCCUUGAUCCAGCAAGGAGAGAGGGAGAGGUUGAGGAAGACUCCAUCCAACAGCAGCACAACGGCGUGGUGGUGGUGGAGGAGCGUGGCAAUCCAGCAGGGCUUCGCCAAGCACCAUGGGAGAGGAGGAGUAGGGAGAGAGGUAGGGCUGUGCCAGAACUUCGUGUAUAGCUCCCAUGCGCCUCCCCACUAUAUAUAGGGGUGGAGGGGCUGGUUUCUUGCCCUCCAAGUCCAUUGGGGCGUUGGCCAAGGUGGGAGGAAAGAAAUCUCAUUAUUUCCUUCCCCACCGAUUGUUAUCCCCCCUUUUUAGGGAUCUUGAUCUUAUCCCUUCGGGAUAUGAUCUUAUUCCUUCUAAGGGGGGAUCUUGGUGCGCCUUGACCAGGGGUGUGCGGCCUUGCCCCCACUACCCACGUCCAUGUGGGUCCCCCCAUGCAGGUGGGCCCCACUCCGGAACCUUCUAGAACCUUCCCGGUACAAUACCGAAAAAUCCUGAACAUUUUCCGGUGGCCAAAAUAAGACUUCCCAUAUAUAAAUCUUUACCUCCGGACCAUUCCGGAACUCCUCGUGACGUCCGGGAUCUCAUCCGGGACUCCGAACAACAUUCGGUAACCACAUACAAACUUCCUUUAUAACCCUAGCGUCAUCGAACCUUAAGUGUGUAGACCCUACGGGUUCGGGAGACAUGUAGACAUGACCGAGACGUUCUCCGGUCAAUAACCAACAGCGGGAUCUGGAUACCCAUGAUGGCUCCCACAUGUUCCACGAUGAUCUCAUCGGAUGAACCACGAUGUCAAGGACUUAAUCAAUCCCGUAUUCAAUUCCCUUUGUCUAUCGGUAUGUUACUUGCCCGAGAUUCGAUCGUCGGUAUCCAAUACCUUGUUCAAUCUCGUUACCGGCAAGUCACUUUACUCGUUCCGUAACACAUCAUCCCGUGAUCAACUCCUUGGUCACAUUGCGCAUAUGAUGAUGUCCUACCGAGUGGGCCCAGAGAUACCUCUCCGUUUACAGGGAGUGACAAAUCCCAGUCUCGAUCCGCAUAAAACAAUAGAUACUUUCGGAGAUACCUGUAGUGCACCUUUAUAGUCACCCAGUUACGUUGUGACGUUUGAUACACCCAAAGCACUCCUACGGUAUCCAGGAGUUACACGCUCUCAUGGUCGAAGGAAGAGAUACUUGACAUUGGCAAAGCUCUAGCAAAUGAACUACACGAUCUUUUGUGCUAGUCUUAGGAUUGGGUCUUGUCCAUCACAUCAUUCUCCUAAUGAUGUGAUCCCGUUAUCAACGACAUCCAAUGUCCAUAGCCAGGAAACCAUGACUAUCUGUUGAUCACAACGAGCUAGUCAACUAGAGGCUCACUAGGGACAUAUUGUGGUCUAUGUAUUCACACGUGUAUUACGAUUUCCGGAUAAUACAGUUAUAGCAUGAAUAAAAGACAAUUAUCAUGAACAAGGAAAUAUAAUAAUAAUACUUUUAUUAUUGCCUCUAGGGCAUAUUUCCAACAUUCUCCCACUUGCACUAGAGUCAGUAAUCCAGUUCACAUCGCCAUGUGAUUAACACUCACAGGUCACAUCGCCAUGUGACUAAUACCCAAGGGUUUACUAGAGUCAGUAGUCUAGUUCACAUCACUAUGUGAUUAACACUCAAUGAGUUUUAUGUUUGAUCAUGUUGCUUGUGAGAGAGGUUUUAGUCAACGGGUCUGAACCUUUCAGAUCCGUGUGUGCUUUACAAAUCUCUAUGUCAUCUCCUAGAUGCAGCUACCACGCUCUAUUUGGAGCUAUUCCAAAUAACUGUUCUACUUUGAGCUAUUCUAAAUUAUUGCUCCAUUAUAUGUAUCCGGUCUCUCUACUCAGAGCUAUCCGGAUAGGUGUUAAGCUUUACGACGAACUCUUUUACCACCUCCAUAAUCGAGAAAAUUCCUUAGUCCACUAGUUACUAAGGAUAACUUUGACCGCUGUCCUGUGAGCCAUUCUUGGAUCACUCUUGUACCCCUUGACUGACUCAUGGCAAGGCACACUUCAGGUGCGGUACACAGCAUAGCAUACUGAAGAGCCUACGUCUUAAGCAUAGGGGACGACCUUCGUCCUUUCUCUCUAUUCUGCCGUGGUCGAGCUUUAAGUCUUAACUUCGUACCUUACAACUCAGGCAAGAACUCCUUCUUUGACUGGUCCAUCUUGAACACGUUCAAGAUCAUGUCAAGGUAUGUGCUCAUUUGAAAGUAUUAUUAAGCAUUUUGAUCUAUCCUUAUAGAUCUUGAUGCUCAAUGUUCAAGUAGCUUAAUCCAGGCUUUCUAUUGAAAAACACUUUCAAAAUAACCCUAUAUGCUUUCCAGAAAUUCUACAUCAUUUCUGAUCAACAUGUAUUCAUCCGAAAUUCUAUAGUGCUCCCACUCACUUCUUUGGAAAUACAAGUUUCUCAUAAACUUUGUAUAAACCCAAAAUCUUUGAUCAUCAUCAAAGCAUACAUUCCAACUCCGAGAUGCUCACUCCAGUCCUUAGAAGGAUCGCUGGAGCUAGCAUACCUUUUAGCAUCCUUAGGAUCGACAAAAACUUUCUGAUUGUAUUACAUACAACCUUUCCUCACAAAAACUGGUAAGGAAACUCGUUUUGAUAUCCAUCUGCCAGAUUUCAUAAAUACAACUAAUGUAACAUGAAUCCGACGGACUUUAAGCAUCGCUACGGAUGAGAAAAUCUCAUCGUAGUCAACUCCUUGAACUUGUGAAAAACUUUUCGCCACAAGUCGAGCUUCAUGGACGGUGACAUUACCAUCCACGUCUGUCUUCUUCUUAAAGAUCCAUUUAUCUUAAUGGCUUGCCGAUCAUCGGGCAAGUCCACCAAAGUCCAUGGAUCCGUUCUCGGAUUUUAUGGCCUCGAGCCAUUUAUCGGAAUCCGGGCCCACCAUCGCUUCUCCAUAGCUCGUAGGUUCAUUGUUGUCCAACAACAUGACUUCCAAGAUAGGAUUACGUACCACUCUGAAGUAGUACGCAUCCUUGUCAUCCCACGAGGUUUGAUAGUGACUUGAUCCGAAGUUUCAUGAUCAAUAUCAUAAGCUUCCACUUCAAUUGGUGUAGGUGCCACAGGAACAACUUCCUGUCCCCUGCCACACACUAGUUGAAGAGACGGUUCAAUAACCUCAUCAAGUCUCCACCAUCCUCCCACUCAACUCUUUCGAGAGAAACCUUUCCUCGAGAAAGGACCCGAUUCUAGAAACAAUUCAUAUUGCUUUCGGAUCUGAAUUAGGAGGUAUACCCAACUGUUUUGGGUGUCCUAUGAAGAUGUAUUUUAUCCGCUUUGGGUUCGAGCUUAAUCCUGAAACUUUUUCACAUAAGCAUCGCAGCCCCAAACCUUUAAGAAAAGACAACUUAGGUUUCUCUAAACCAUAAUUCAUACGGUGUCAUCUCAUCGGAAUUAUGUGGUGCCCUAUUUAAAGUGAAUGUGGUUGUCUCUAAUGCCUAACCCAUGAACGAUAGUGGUAAUUCGAUAAGAGACAUCAUGGUACGCACCAUAUCCAAUAGGGUGCAACUAUGAUGUUCGGACACACCAUCACACUAUGGUGUUCCAGGCGGUAUUAAUUGCGAAACAAUUUCCACAAUGUCUUAAUUGUGUGCCAAAACUGGUAACUCAGAUAUUCAUCUCUAUGAUCAUAUCAUAGACAUUUUAUCCUCUUGUCACAAUGAUCUUCUACUUCACUCUGAAACUAUUUGAACCAUUCAAUAAUUCAGACUUGUGUUUCAUCAAGUAAAUAUUCUAAACAUCUACUCAAAUCAUCUGUGAAGUAAGAACAUAACGAUAUUCACUGCAUGCCUCAGCACUCAUUGGACUGCACACAUCAAAAUGUGUUACUUCCAACAAGUUGCUAUCUUGUUCCAUCUUACUGAAAACGAGGCUUUUCAGUCAUCUUGCCCAUGUGGUAUGAUUUGCAUAUUUCAAGUGAUUUAAAAUCAAGUGAGUCCAAAUGAUCCAUCUGCAUGGAGUUUCUUCAUGCGUAUACACCAAUAGACAUGGUUCGCAUGUCUCAAACUUUUCUAAAACGAGUGAGUCCAAAGAUCCAUCAACAUGGAGCUUCUUCAUGCGUUUUAUACCAUUAUGACUUACAUGGCAGCGCCACAAGUAAGUGGUACUAUCAUUACUAUCUUAUAUCUUUUGGCAUGAAAAUGUGUAUCACUACGAUCGAGAUUCAAUAAACCAUUCCUUUAGGUGCAAGACCAUUGAAGGUUUUAUUCAAAUAAAUAGAGUAACCAUUAUUCUCCUUAAAUGAAUAACCGUAUUGCGAUAGACAUAAUCCAAUCAUGUCUAUGCUCAACGCAAACACCAAUCUCGAUGGUAGAGGGAGCGUGUGAUGCUUGAUCAUAUCAACAUUGGAAACACUUCCAACACAUAUCGUCAGCUCACCUUUAGCUAGUCUCCUUAUAUUUCGUAGCUUUUAUUUCGAGUUACUAACACUUAGCAAUCGAACCGGUAUCUAAUACCCUUGUGCUACUAGGAGUACUAGUAAAGUACACAUUAACAUAAUGUAUAUCCAAUAUACUUCUAUCGACCUUGCCAGCCUUCUCAUCUACCAAGUAUCUAGGGUAAUGCUGUUCCAGUGGUUGUUCCCCUUAUUACAGAAGCACUUAGUCUCGGGUUUGGGUUCAACCUUUGGUUUCUUCACUAGAGCAGCAGCUGAAUUGCCGUUUCAUGAAGUAUCCCUUUGUUCCCUUGCCCUUCUUGAAACUAGUGGUUUCACCAACCAUCAACAAUUGAUGCUCCUUCUUGAUUUCUACUUUCGCGGUGUCAAACAUCAUGAAUAUUUCAAGGAUCAUCAUAUCUAUCCCUGAUAUGUUAUAGUUCAUCACGAAGCUCUAGCAGCUUGGUGGCAAUGACUUUGGGGAAACAUCACUAUCUCAUUUGGAAGAUCAACUCCCACUCGAUUCAAGUGAUUGUUGCACUCAGACAAUCUGAGCACAAGCUCAACGAUUGAGCUUUUCUCCCUUAGUUUGUAGGCUAAGAAAAUUGUCGGAGGUCUUAUACCUCUUGACGUGGGCACGAGCCUGAAAUCCCAAUUUCAGCCCUCGAAACAUCUCAUAUGUUCCGCGACAUUUCAAAAACGUCUUUGGUGCCUCUACUUAAACCAUUUAACUGAACUAUCACGUAGUUAUCAAAAACAUGUAUGUCCGAUGUUCGCAACAUCCACAAACGACGUUUGGGGUUCGGCACACUCAGCAGUGCAUUAAGGACAUAAGCUUUCUACUGUCCACAUAAUUGCUACUAUCAACUUUCAACUAUAUUUUCUCUAGGAACAUAUCUAAAACAGUAGAACUAAAGCGCGAGCUACGACAUAAUUUGCAAAAGGUCUUUUGACUAUGUUCAAGAUAAUUAAGUUCAUCUUAUGAACUCCCACUCAGAUAGACAUCCCUCUGGUCAUCUAAGUGAUUACAUGAUCCGAGUCAACUAGGCCGUGUCCGAUCAUCACGUGAGACGGACUAGUCAUCAUCGGUGAACAUCUUCAUGUUGAUCGUAUCUACCAUACGACUCAUGCUCGACCUUUCGGUCUCCGUGUUCCGAGGCCAUGUCUGCACAUGCUAGGCUCGUCAAGUUAACCCUAAGUGUUUUCGCUGUGUAAAACUGUCUUACACCCGUUGUAUGUGAACGUAAGAAUCCAUCACACCCGAUCAUGACGUGGUGCUUAGAAGCGACGAACUGUAGCAACGGUGCACAGUUAGGGGAGAACACUUCUUGAAAUUUUGUAAGGGAUCAUCUUAUUUACUACCGUCGUCCUAAGCAAACAAGAUGCAUAAACAUGAUAAACAUCACAUACAAUCAAAUAGUGACAUGAUAUGGCCAAUAUCAUUUUGCUCCUUUUGAUCUUCAUCUUCGGGGCUCCAUGAUCAUCAUCGUCACCGGCACGACACCAUGAUCUCCAUCAUCAUGAUCUCCAUCAUCGUGUCUUCAUGAAGUUGUCACGCCAACGACUACUUCUACUUCUAUGACUAACGCGUUUAGCAAUAAAGUAAAGUAGUUUACAUGGCGUUCUUCAAUGACACGCGGGUCAUACAAUAAAUAAAGACAACUCCUAUGGCUCCUGCGGGUUGUCAUACUCAUCGACAUGCAAGUCGUGAAUCCUAUUACAAGAACAUGAUCAAUCUCAUACAUCACAUAUCAUUCAUCACAUUCUUCUUGGCCAUAUCACAUCACAUAGCAUACCCUGCAAAAACAAGUUAGACGUCCUCUAAUUGUUGUUGCAUGUUUUACGUGGCUGCUAUGGGUUUCUAGCAAGAACGUUUCUUACCUACGCAAGGCCACAACGUGAUAUGCCAAUUGCUAUUUACCCUUCAUAAGGACCCUUUUCAUCGAAUCCGUUCCGACUAAAGUGGGAGAGACUGGCACCCGCUAGCCACCUUAUGCACCAAGUGCAUGUCAAUCGGUGGAACUUGUCUCACGUAAGAGUACGUGUAAGGUCGGUCCGGGCCGCUUCAUCCCACAAUACCGUCGAAACAAGAUUGGACUAGUAACGGUAAGCAUAUUGAACAAAAUCAACGCCCACAACUACUUUGUAUUCUACUCGUGCAAAGAAUCUACGCAAUAAACCUGGCUCUGAUACCACUGUUGGGGAACGUAGCAGAAAUUCAAAAUUUUCCUACGUGUCACCAAGAUCUAUCUAUGGAGAGACCAGCAACGAGUAGAAAGAGAGUGCAUCUACAUACCCUUGUAGAUUGCUAAGCGGAAGCGUUCAAGUGAACGGGGUUGAUGGAGUCGUACUCGUCGUGAUUCAAAUCACCGAUGAUCCUAGUGUCGAACGGACGGCACCUCCGCGUUCAACACACGUACAACCCGGUGACGUCUCCCACGCCUUGAUCCAGCAAGGAGAGAGGGAGAGGUUGAGGAAGACUCCAUCCAACAGCAGCACAACGGCGUGGUGGUGGUGGAGGAGCGUGGCAAUCCAGCAGGGCUUCGCCAAGCACCAUGGGAGAGGAGGAGUAGGGAGAGAGGUAGGGCUGUGCCAGAACUUCGUGUAUAGCUCCCAUGUGCCUCCCCACUAUAUAUAGGGGUGGAGGGGCUGGUUUCUUGCCCUCCAAGUCCAUUGGGGCGUUGGCCAAGGUGGGAGGAAAGAAAUCUCAUUAUUUCCUUCCCCACCGAUUGUUAUCCCCCCUUUUUAGGGAUCUUGAUCUUAUCCCUUCGGGAUAUGAUCUUAUUCCUUCUAAGGGGGGAUCUUGGUGCGCCUUGACCAGGGGUGUGGGGCCUUGCCCCCACUACCCACGUCCAUGUGGGUCCCCCCAUGCAGGUGGGCCCCAUUCCAGAACCUUCUAGAACCUUCCCGGUACAAUACCGAAAAAUCCCGAACAUUUUCCGGUGGCCAAAAUAGGACUUCCCAUAUAUAAAUCUUUACCUCCGGACCAUUCUGGAACUCCUCGUGACGUCCGGGAUCUCAUCCGGGACUCCGAACAACAUUCGGUAACCACAUACAAACUUCCUUUAUAACCCUAGCGUCAUCGAACCUUAAGUGUGUAGACCCUACGGGUUCGGGAGACAUGUAGACAUGACCGAGACGUUCUCCGGUCAAUAACCAACAGCGGGAUCUGGAUACCCAUGAUGGCUCCCACAUGUUCCACGAUGAUCUCAUCGGAUGAACCACGAUGUCAAGGACUUAAUCAAUCCCGUAUUCAAUUCCCUUUGUCUAUCGGUAUGUUACUUGCCCGAGAUUCGAUCGUCGGUAUCCAAUACCUUGUUCAAUCUCAUUACCGGCAAGUCACUUUACUUGUUCCGUAACACAUCAUCCCGUGAUCAACUCCUUGGUCACAUUGCGCAUAUGAUGAUGUCCUACCGAGUGGGCCCAGAGAUACCUCUCCGUUUACACGGAGUGACAAAUCCCAGUCUCGAUCCGCAUAAAACAAUAGAUACUUUCGGAGAUACCUGUAGUGCACCUUUAUAGUCACCCAGUUACAUUGUGACGUUUGAUACAGCCAAAGCACUCCUACGGUAUCCAGGAGUUACACGCUCUCAUGGUCGAAGGAAGAGAUACUUGACAUUGGCAAAGCUCUAGCAAAUGAACUACACGAUCUUUUGUGCUAGUCUUAGGAUUGGGUCUUGUCCAUCACAUCAUUCUCAUAAUGAUGUGAUCCCGUUAUCAAUGACAUCCAAUGUCCAUAGCCAGGAAACCAUGACUAUCUGUUGAUCACAACGAGCUAGUCAACUAGAGGCUCACUAGGGACAUACUGUGGUCUAUGUAUUCACACGUGUAUUACGAUUUCCGGAUAAUACAGUUAUAGCAUGAAUAAAAGACAAUUAUCAUGAACAAGGAAAUAUAAUAAUAAUACUUUUAUUAUUGCCUCUAGGGCAUAUUUCCAACAGAUUAUGGGGGAGCAAUCAAGCUUGAAGCUUGCUGUCCAUUAUGGUGUCAAUGGAAUUGUGGAGAUGUGCCAAAGAGUGGCUCACCCAUAGUGGAGUAUGGGGGAGCAAUCAACUAGUCUUCAUCGAGCCAACACAAUCAAGAAAGGUGGUCCAACUUGAGGAAGUCAAGAUCGUCAUCAUCUAGCUCAAGUGGACUAUGUGCAAGGCAAAGGUUUGCCCUUGAUAGGUUUUCUAUUUUACCGGUCUCAUAGUGGUAGUUGGGAGACCGGGUUGUAGGAUCGAUUGCCGUACUAUCAAGGGGGACUCUCUAGGGAGUAGCUUGAUCGUAUCAUUAGUCGAGAGCUCAAACCAUUGCAUCCUUGCAUCAUCUUUCUUGGUUCUUGUUUGGUUCCAUUUGUGAGUCUUAGAGCUUAUGGUCAUCUUUAUGACAAGCUUGAGUUCAUCGAAAACGGAGUUCGCAUGCAUCUUCUAUGAUGUUUUCCAUGUUGGAGGUUUUGCCAGUUCUUCUCGGUUGGAGGUUUCACUCCUUUAUUUGUUGGCAUACCUCCCCUGCUACUCGUCAUCUUGUUUCCAACAAACUUGAGUUUGCUCAAUUCGGAGCUCAUAUGCAGAAGUUAUGGCAGUUCUGGUUUUCUUGAGAGUGGUUUUUGUCUGGUCCCAGCGGUAGUACCGCGUGCCCCAGCGGUAGUACCGCUUGGAGCUCUCAGCCGUUGUACCGCUGCUUUCGGGCGGUGGUACCGCCAACUUGCUCAGCAAAGACUUGGGCGGUUGUUCCGGCCAGGCACCGCCCAAGUACCGGUCAGGCCUCUGUUUUGAUGCGGUACUCGGGCGGUGGUGGCCCGGUUGGUCCGGUCGUACCGGUACCACCGGUGUCCGGAGUGGUUCGACCGCUCAGGACUUAGCCGCCCGAGCGCUCAAGGCCAUGCGGUUGCACCGGCCCGGUACCGCUCGACUACCGCACUCAGGGGUGACUCCCUUCUGUUCCUAUGCGGUGGUUGAGCGGUGGCUGGGCGGUUGGUCCGGUUGUUCUUCUCAACCGGUGCUACCGCCUGGUCGCCCGGUUGUACCGCCUGGUAGGGUUUUGCAUGUAUACUGUGAGUCCCGGUUGUACCGGGACCAGGAGCGGUAGUACCGCUCGUGUGCGGGCUGAGCACAUAACGGUUGGAUUUCCCCCUCCUAUAAAAGGGGGUCUUCUUCCCCAUUGAACCUAACCCUUUUGAGCUCGUGUUCUUCCCCCUUUAUUGACCUUCUUUGAGCUUGCUAACUCUCAUUCCCUCCAUGGAUUCUUUCUAGUUUUUGAGGGAAAAGAGAGAGGGGAUCUAGAUCCACAUUUCCACCAAUCACUUUCUCCUCUAUGUGAGGGGAACCCCUUGGAUCUAGAUCUUGGAGUUCUUGGUGUUCUUCUUCUUGUUCUUCCUCUCAUUUUCCUCCCUAGCAUUAGUUGCUCCGAUGGGAUUUGAGAGAGAAGGACUUGGGCACUCCGUGUGCCCUUACCAUUGCAUUUGGUGCAUCGGUUUGAGUUCCCCACGGUGAUACGUGGAAGUGAAGUUUGAGAAGCUUAUUACUCUUGGGUGUUUGGGCACCCUAGAGCUUGUUCCUCUUGGGUGCCUUGGCGCCCUAGACGGUUGGUGUUGUUCGGAGCUCAAUCAUUGUGGUGUAAAGCUCCGGGCAAGCGUCGGGGUCUCCAAUUAGGUUGUGAAGAUCGCCCCGAGCAAUUUGACGGGUACCGGUGACCGCCCCCAAGGGUUGCCAAAGUGUACGGGUUCGGUGACCGCCCCCAAGGGUUGCCAUUUGUACGGGUUCGGUGACCGCCCUCAAGGGUCCCUUGGUGGAAUCACGACAUCUUGCAUUGUGCGAGGGCGUGAGGAGAUUACGGUGGCCCUAGUGGCUUCUUGGGGAGCACUGUGCCUCCACACCGCUCCAAACAGAGAUUAGCAUCCGCAAGGGUGUGAACUUCGGGAUACAUCAUUGUCUCCGCGUGCCUCGGUUAUCUCUUACCCGAGCUCUUUACUUAUGCACUUUACUUUGUGAUAGCCAUAUUGUUUCUUGUCAUAUAUCUUGCUAUCACAUAGUUGCUUAUCUUGCUUAGCAUAAGUUGUUGGUGCACAUAGGUGAGCCUAGUUGUUUUAGGUUUUGUGCUUGACAAAUUAACCGCUAGGUUUAUUCCGCAUUUGUUUAAGCCUAAAUCGUAAUUAUUUUAAAAUGCCUAUUCAUCCCCCCUCUAGGCGACAUCCACGAUCUUUCAAGCGCGACGCUCCCGAGCGCGCUCGAGCACGUCUUCCACACCAUCAUCUGCCCCAAGCAAGCGCCGGGGGCCACGAAUCAGCACUCCCCCUCCGGGCAGGGGGCUGGGGGUUGGCACCCUCGCGACGGCCGGGCAUGCCGCGCCAUAAGCCCGGCCUGGAGCCAGCCCGUCCCCAGGUAAAGAGCGCAGGGAGCGCAUCAGCCAAUCGCAGUCCACGACCAGGUGAGAAGCCCACGGCAGGCUGGCUAUGUCACGAGAAGGCCCGCGAAGGAGGAUCGCGAGGUGCGCAGGGCCACGAUACGCCUCGGGACGGUUCGCCUCUUCGAUCGCCCUCACCACAAGGGCUCCGCUGCUCGGAGCGCUUGAGGACGGCGGAGGGGGCGAAGCCAAGGGGGACGGCUGCUCAGCCGUCUCCGCAAGCUCGGCUGGAAGGGGCCUGCAGAGCAAGGGUCAGUAAAAGCAACAGAAGAAUCGGGAGCUGGGAAAGGAGAAGGCUUACUCAUCAGUGACGAAGUACUUCCUAUGCUUCAGCAGGCGACAAGGGUAAUCGUCGCCCAGGGCCUCCCUUCUCUUCCGGAGGGCCUCAAAGUCCAUGCGGAAGCGGCCUAAGAGUUGGGCGCAGGGAUCAACCAGCGACGAAGAUGGAGCGUCAAAGCGAUCUGCGUCAGGGGUGCCUGCCUGAUGUGCGCUGCCGAUCGCCUCGCCAGGAGAAGCAACCGGAGCCUCAGGGGCCUCAGUCGCAGGCGCAGAGGGUAGCUGCUUGUCACCCUCAGCCUCAGCGGCACGGGCCCCAAGAACUGCUCCCUCAUGAGCAUCGUCCGGCGCUGUCACCCCGCCGAGAGCCUCCUCGGCCUCUGGCGCCUCAUGCCUCCCUGCUCCGCCGCUUGAGGAAGAGUCGCCUUGGCCGACUGGAAGGGCAGUCACCACCACUGGGUUCUCGCGAGGCCCCUGGAGGCCGGCGGGGCGCGGCCCCCACUCAUCAAAGAUAGGCAUCUGCUUCGCAAAAUCGCCCCUACUCUGGCAGAGGUACAACAAGGCCCCUCCCUGCUGGAUGCUGCCGGGGUUGGGGUCCCCAGUCAGGGUCAAGAGCGCUGUCCUCAGCGCUUCAGGAGUCAGGUCCUCUUCCUGGAGCCUCAUACGAUCAUCGCGUCCGCUGAAGGCCCACAUCCGGCGGGAGUGGCGUUGGAGAGGAGCAACGCGGCGUAGCAGGAACUCCUUCACCACCUUGGGCGCUGUCACGCCAAGCAACCUCAAGAACGCGAAGCGGUGCCAGACGAAGACGAGCCGGGGGCUCUCAAGCGUCUCCUGGCCCCAGCCCGAAUUGGGGACAACAGGCGAAGUUGGCUCCGAUAGCAGGGGGCUGGGCACCCCUGCGUCCACAUACAGCCACCACUCGCGGAACCCAGCCGCGGGCAGGGGGAGCUUGAAGUCAAUCCCAGAGGCCGCUGUCUCAGACGCGGCAACGAAGCUCACGCACGCCCAGCAUUGGGUAGGGUCGACAAGGCGCAGCGAGAAGAAGUGGCGCAGCAAGGCAACCGAAGGAAGGAUGCCCAUCAUAGCCUCGCAAACAAAGACGGAGACCGAAAGGAGAGUGAUGGAUUCAGGACCCAGAUGCAUCAUGUGGGUCUGAUAGUGGGAAAGCACGACAUUGAAGAAAUCAGAAAAGGGAGGAACCAGACCCGUCCACAGGGCGUCGGCAAAAUACGGGACCUCGGUGACUAUCCUGUCGAUGGAGAAGUGGGACGCGGGCCAGGCCGUCGUCCUCCCACAUUCGUUGAAGAUAGUGGCCAGAGCCGAGCUGACCUUGCCCAAGCCCUCGGCGGGGGCCGCCAACGGCGGCGGGCAAGGCGGAGACACGGGUUUCUUCCCUCUUCCCUUCUUCGUCGGAGCCAUGGUGAUGGGAAGGGGGGGAAGGUUCGAGAUUGGGUUGAAAACAGAAGCCGGAGUUCGAGCGGAGGAAGGACAGAGGGCGCUCGAGCAACAGAAAGGGGAACGGCUGUGUACGACUACGAGUCCGCCUAGCAUGGCACAAAAUAAGGAGGGCGCGGGGGAACAGUGCCGCCCACGUCCAAUCAACCGCCACGCAGCGUCCAAGGCCGCCGGCUGUUAGGGCCCGCGGCGCUUCGCUCUUGCCCUUCCGCCUCCCUGCACGGCCAAGUCCGGGCGCGCCUUGGGCCCGGGGGCUACUGUCGGCGUUCUGGGAACGGGGGUCCUCAGACUUGCCUGCCUGCGGCCUGCGGCGUGGCUCAAAGGGGGCCUCAGCACGACCCAUCUUCACCAACACAAACCCAAGACUCUCGCGAGGGGCCAAGUCUCGCGGGGCGGACAACGCGGAGCUUCUCAGGCACGGCCUCAUCAGGCUGGCUCGCGAGGAGGCGGAGAGAUCAAGGCGGGGUACCUCACGAGGUGCCCGUGACGCAAGCCAUGACGACCAAGGGCGCCAGACGGGUGCCAGCCCGCGCAGUGUCCUCCUUUCCCCUUUGGUGCAAAUGGGGCAAGCGCAGCCGUGGAGUACCGAGGCAUCAGGCAAAGGUUGCCAUUUCGGUGCAACAAGACCAAGACCAGGAGGACUGCAAGACGGAGGUCAUUAUGGAGCCCAAGACGGCGUCACCACCAGAGCUUUGUGCAGGCGAAGACUACUUUUGUCAGGAUAACUGGUACUAGCUGUCCCCUUUCAAAUUAGCCCGCCAUUGUUGGCUCCCUUCCCGCUCGAUAUUUGGAAAGAGGACCAGGGCCUCUAUAAAUAGGACCAGCCACCCGCAGGAUGGAAAGAGGGGGGGUGAGAGGUUAGAGGUUGGAGAGAGGCAUCAUCAGUUGUGAAGAGAGAGAGAAGGGUGACUGGACUCCUCCCAGCAGUUCAUCGCCCCAGCCAAGAACAGACCCUCGCGAGGCUGUUCUUCCUUGUAUUGUUCGUCACUAUCAGCCCAAGAGGCAAUCCACCACACCACACACUGGAGUAGGGUAUUACAUCACAACGGUGGCCCGAACCAGUAUAAACCCUGUGUCUCUUGUGUUGUUCUUUCCAUAGUUUAGAUCUUAGCGUGGCGGAGGGGUGCAGGUAGGUAGGAGGCGAAAUCUCCGCGCGCACCUCAGUGUUCGAACCUCAAGGGUCUGCCGGAACCCGAAAUCCGACAGCGGUGGCGCCAGCCGGGGCAGGCGGAGGCGGACUUCGGGCGGUACAACAUCCGGUGCGUGGUGCGCACCAUCUACGUGCUCUUCUCCGGCCGCGAGAUCCCGGCCGCCGAGCAAGGCCAGGAGGCCAUGGACCUAGCCGACGGCUCCGCGCCCCUGCCGGAGUGGUUCACCGAGGAGGACCUCGACGUGUACGCCGCGCUCUACGAGAACUCCGGCUUCGGGUACCCGAUCAAAAUGCCGUACGGGUCGCUGGACAAGAUGGCCACCCAGCUGGAGGCCAGGUUCGAGGUGCCGGUGCUGAUGGUGAUGGGGGAGGACUACGUCAUGAAGCUGCCAGGGUUCGAGGCCGCCGUGAGGGGCGGCAUGAUGGCCGGCUUCGCGCCUGACCUCAAGGUCGCCUUCGUCCCGGAGGGCAGGCAUUUCGUGCAGGAGCAGUUCCCGACGCAGGUUAACGAGCUCCUCCUUGGUUUCUUGAAGGAUCACCCGUGAUCCUGGGCGUGGUGGGGAUGACACUGUUUACAGUAGUGUAGUUGCAACUGGCAACGGUGAACGGUCGCUUGCCUUGCACAGCGACCACCACGUGUAUCAUUGAAGCAAAUAUCCAAGUCCAAAUGCCCAUGUAUACAUUUUUCAUCCCAAGUCUUAUUCGAUGUCAACCAAAAUGUGUGUCCCUGACCCGGCGAUUACGGCUUGGUUGAAGCAUUCGACUUUAGGUGUUGGGUUUUGGUGUGAGGUCUGGGCAUGCGGCCUGGACAAAACGCACCUCUUCAUCAAGUUGAUAGGAGUAGCGACAGAUGGUGCCAAGACAGUGGUUUCAGACUUAUUGAUGUAUUACUUUAUAAGGCCUUAGUGAAUAAUUAAUAAAAUGGUUGUAUGCAUCGCCUUGAUGAAGAGGCCGGGGUCAUCCUUCUUUUCGAAAAAAAAUCAUUGUAUUGGAGAGAUGUAAGUUUGUAAGUUAUUCUAAAGUAACAAAAUAAACUAGUGAAAUAAUGUUCCUUCUUAUCUUAUUCCCUCUCAGCUCAUCUGAACAAACAACCCACAAUUUGUCAUAUAUGAAAACAAAUUCAAUAAAAAGACAUAUACAACCCACCAUCUAUCAUUAGCUAUUCUUGGAAAGUGUCUGACUAGCCUAUAGACCAAUGAACAUUUAUAUGUUUGUACAUUUUGCCUUCCACUGCUUCUUUUAAUUUUACCUUUUUACGAGUAGAGAUACAUUUCUGUUGCAUUGUAUAAAAAAUGAUUUGCAUGAUUUGAGUUGUCAUGUGUGAGGUUGUCCUUCUUGAACUAAAGCUUAUGAGGGACAAGGAGGAAGUUUCUGUGCCUCAAGGGUCUCGAAGUAAAGGAGUUGUCCUAUGGACAACCUCUACUCUCCGUCGUGCUAACAUAUUAUCUUUUACAAUAAGGCUUUUGCCAACUCUUCAAGUGCAAACAAAUCAAACUUGGCCAACUACACUUGCAAUGUUAAAGAUGCUUUGAAAAUACUGCAAAUUAAGAUUUGGUAUCACUAAACUUAAUAUAAGUUGUCCUUUACAUUUUAAUAGGUUAUAGUUUUGUCGUACUGCACAAAAGCAUCAACCGUAAGUGAGGCCAAAUAACUUGCCUUGGUUAAUACGUCAAGUUCAGUAUGACUAGGAUAAUGUAGAGGAAGGAGCCGAGAUAGAAUACAAGUGUUAUAUCUUAUGGUUUUGACGACGAAGCUGAUUAGAACACCUUUUCUCGCCAGCAAAAAUGUGGAUCCACGAGGUGCUGUGUUGUUGAUAACUUGACCCGGAAGGGAAGGGGAGCGCAUAAGGGUCAAAUGUUCCGAAGGACAUUGCUGUGACAUCGUGAUAUGCUUACCCUUUGCUGUAUUUAAUGUGUAGUGUUGUGUGAACAUCAAAGUAGCGGAAUGAAUGUAUUAGAUGUGUAUACGUGUUAUGUGAACAUCCCUAAUCAUCCUUUAGAGCGAGGGAUUUGUUAUCGGAGCGAAGGUCCAGCCCAUGUAGCUCUUUCUAACUAGCUCAGUCUAGAUAAAAAUUAACCCAUGAGCCAAGUUCAUGGACUAAUAUAUUACAUUUUACAAAUUUUUAUGGAAAGUUCAUAUAUCUCAUGUACAAUUAUCUUUUUUCGCUCAUGUGAAGCUCUAGAAUGAUUUCCGCAAAAAAACCCCUCUAGAAUGAUAAUAUCUCAUACUCCCUUUGGGACAAGUUUUUUCUGAACGAAGGAAGUACGAAGAUACAAGUGAGUGGAGUAUCUAAACUCAUGUUUUAUGCAUAACUCCAUUUACUUGAAAACACUUAAAAAUUUUAUUUAAACUAUGCAAUAGAGGCCUGAUCGUACUCCGGAUCGGGCCAAGGUAGGCUUAACAAAGGAGUCCGAAAAUGCCAACCCCAAACCUGACCCAAAACACAUGAGUAGUAAAUUUUGCCCCAUCUUCUAAAAAAAGUAAUUUUUGCCCCUUCAAGAUUCGAUUAUUUAGAUCUGAUGAGUUUAUAUUAUUGUGUCAAGCAUUUUUUGUUAGUCUAAUUCUUUAUGGAAGUGAAAUCUUACAUCGACAUCAUGGUGAAGAUGUAGUGAUUCGACGGCCUGCACUUCUAGAGGAUCAUCCCUGGCUCAAGUACGUUCAUCGUUCGUGCGGGCGAAAGAGUGACAACACCGUUGCUCCAGUCCAAUUGUAGAUUCUUUAUCAAAGUCUUUGGAGUAUUUCUUCGAGCAGAGAUUGAUACCGCGAAGAAGGUGAUUUUAAGAGAUUUCAUUGUAAUUCUUAGUCAUAGGAGUUACUUUGCAUUUUUUUGAAUUUUAGAUCCAAAUCAGUGUACAUGUAAUUGUUUUUUUUAACAUCAGUACAGACACAAGCGUUCAUAUACACUCGCAUACACUCAUCCCUAUAAACGCACACACACACCUUACCUCUAUGAGCACCUUCUAAAGACUGAGCCGACAUAUCAUCUUGAGAUUUACGAAGUCACUGUAGACGCCUCGUCGUCGACGGGAACGUCUCCUCCCACUUUGUUAUGAGUAUGAAUAAAGUUACAAAUGUUUCUAAAAAUGUAGUUUCUGCCCCUAAAAACAUGACUAGUAUUUAUUCCUCAAAAAAGUAUGAAUAGUAAUUUUAUUAUUAUUUAACUGAAUUAAUUUUGGAUUAUUUAAAUACAUUAUUAUACCUGUUUUCUCCCCUAAAAUACCGACGUCCCAGUUUCGAGUUUUUUCCGAGCUUCUGGGCCAGGCUUUGGGCGAAAAAGCUAAGCACGAGUCGGGCCCGGAUGCCGGGUUUUCGGCCCUGGGCCUUUUACCCGGGCUUCCCUCAGGUUUACCCGUGACUUUUACAAUCUACUCCUAAGAAAUUCCUUUUACCAUUCGCUCGAAAAUUUGUCUAAGAAAACCAUUCGCUCGAAAAUUGCCUAAAAAAAUCGCUCGAAAAAUAAAAAUAAUUCCUUUUAUUAUCAGAAAAACAGUCUCGUAUUCUCCCGAAGCCGCACAUAACCAGGCCGCGUCGCACGGCCGUCUUCCCCGUUCUCCCCCCGCCGCUCCCCCUCUCCCCCGCCGUCGCCUGCUCGCCCCCGCGGCGCAAGGCGGUGACCCUGCAGGACGAUCGGAGCCGCGUCGCUCUUCGCCUCCUCCGCUCUCCCUAGCGGCGAGUAGACCGAGACGCGGAGGCCUCCCCCGGCAUCGCCCGCAAUGUUGCGCCGGUACGGGCACCGACCUAGGUUUCCGCCCCGCCGAAUUAGGGUUUCCACGCCUAAUGCCCUGCUCUCUCUUCCAUUGCAGGUGCGUGCGGGAUCUGUACCCGCUGCGGUCCCUCAGGAGGAUCCCCAGGCCGAUCUCCAGCGAGGUAAUCAAGCGUCCCCGUUAUGUCUCAUGGCUCGAUCCCCAUUAGGACGGUCUCUGGUGGUUGCAGCUGGUCGAAUUGCUUGCUCUGGUAGGCGUGUGCUGGGCUGAGAAUUCGGUUGCUUGUGAGAGCUUACCUGGGAUUGGUAGAUUCGUUGAUUAAGCUGCCAGUGGAGGGGUUGUGUUAUGGGUGUUCAUGUCUGAUUAGUUUUUGGGAAUGCUGCUCGUCCUGUCAUUUGUUUUAGUUAACAUAGCCCGUUUGUGUUCAUCUGAUUUGAGAUGAGAUUAACUAAGGGCUGUCUGUGUUUGGAGCAUGAUGCUGUGGUACAUGUGGCAAUGUUUGGAACUUAAUAUGAGUUGACAUUAGCUUAGUUGGUAAUGAAAGAAUCCAAUUAGAUUGGCCUGACAUGAAUCAUGUAUUUUCUACUUAUUUUGCUACAUAUGCGGUUUGUAUUAUUUUUCGUACGGAACACUGAUUACUCGCAAACCCUUGAUGAAUGCUUCUAGAAGGAAAUAGGACAACACCUUCUUGUGAUACUUUGUAAUGUUAUGUUGUUACUUAUUCGUUAGUAAUAUUGUCAGUGCAAACGCAAACUUCUACUGCGAGUUGAUCGGACCUGUCAAAAGCCAUGUCUAUGUUUUUUAUUCCAUGUGCUCAUCACAUAUAUUUACAUAAAUGCUGUGAUUUUCUAUGUGCAAUGAAUGCACACAAUUUAUGUUAUUAGGUUUGUAAUGCUUUUGCAACCGCCUUUCCUCAUUCCGUUCCUUAGCUUUGGAAGUUUGCACAAUAGUUGGGAGUAUUUUUGCAUUUUUUUCUCUUUCUGUUGCUGAUAGGCCUGAAGUGCAAGAAAGUGACAGAAUAACCUAUUUAUCAGGUCCAAAGUCCAACAUUCGGUCAGCUCAGAAGAAACUCAACAAAAGCAUCCCAACAAGGUUCAGCACAGAAAUCUGUCCCUGGACCUAAAGAAGAACCUUCUAAGUCUGGAAGCAAGGUUCCAAAGCUUCUGCUUGGAACUCUGCUUGUUGGUGCUGCUGGUAUGGCCGCUUAUCAAGCUGGCUACAUAGACCUUCAGUUUAUGGAUGAAAAAUUGCCUUCGACCAUCAGGGAACAAAAUCUCACAAAGAUGUAUGAAAAUCUGAAGUUCCCUUUUGAACAAAAGGUUGAUCAGAAACAAACCAUGUUGGAUCCAAAGAAUGACAUUGUUCAGGAUACACCCAUGGUCCUUCCAGCUGAAGGGAUUCCAACUGCCAGUGAGCAGCCUACUCCUGCAGAAGAAAAAGAAACAGAAACCGUAACCCAGGGAACACUGCCAGUUCAAGAUGAGCAUGGUGCUGAUACUAAACUGCCGUCUCAAGAUACUCUCUCUGUUGAUAUAAAGCCAAAUGUUGUAAAUAAGGCAGCAGGUGAAGUUCCUCUUGGACAAGCUGACAAGAUAAGUAGCACAGUUUCUCCAGUAGAAUCAAGCCCAACAACGGCUGAAGUACAAAAGGUUUGAGUUCGUCCUGAACUUGUUAUAUAACCACCGAUUUAUCAUCAUUUGCAUGUUGAUUGGUAUAUCAAAGUACUUAUAUUUUCUCAUUCCAAAUUGGUAAUUCGAUGGAUUCUAUAGGCUUAACAAGGAUUACUGUGUUGCUUUUAGUUUUUAUAGAUUAUACACUGUAGAGGUUAUGCCAUAUGAUUUAUGCAGAAGAAAUAUCUAGAAAUGGAGAUCUGAAUGAAAUCCUCCAGUAAUCUAGUUUUAAAAAACAUGAUUAGUCAUGCAGCUGUCACAGCUUGUUGUUUAACAGUACUAUCAUCUAUCUAUGUUUGUGAUUUCUGAAUUUUUUAUUCGAUUGGAAUUUGACAUUUAGAGCUGGCGCUCUUGAGCAAUUUUGAGUUGAUAGUAUAUUGACUUUGAGUUAUAUCACUGUGAAGUUUAGAACCACUAGAUUGUAAGUUACAUUUUAGUAACACACCACCAGUUGUUCCAUGUAGCAAAACCUGACGAAACUUUUUUUAUGUCUGUAUUUUUGCAUGAUGCUGUUUCUAAGUAUAUAUUGAAUAAGGACGCUGGUAGAAUCGUCUAAUUGAUAAAUCCUUAUCUGUAGGAUCCAUUAGGUGCUGAUGUAGGUGAACAUAAAUCUCUUGCUGAGACAUAUUUACUACAGGAGGAGCAUGAUAUUCCUAAAGAUGUGGUAUGUAUUCCCACCUUUAAAAAUUGGACAAUACCAACAUUGGAAGAAAUACUUCCUAUUGAUGGAGAGGCUGCUAGAAAUAAGUUGAUGACACUUAAUAUUCAUAUUUCAAUGUUUACUUUAUCUAUUUAUGUUGUUAAACAGAGUGCUAAGGAGACUAAAAGUGAUGGCAUUGUUGGUGGUGUAAAAGCUUCCGAUGAUGGGAAAAUUAUGCUGGAUAUUAUAGAUGCUAUUCAUGCCGCUGAAAAAAAGCAGGCAGAUACAGAUGCUUACACGUAUUCUGAAGAGAAAAGGAAGUUGAAGGUUUGUUAUCCAUUUGCACGUGAUGUUUCUACUUAGCCAUGGUCGUUGCUUUGUACACAUCAAGGAUUAGCAGUAGCAUAGCAUGCCUAUGUAUUUUUUUGUACAGUAUUGUUUUCCUCCUGUUGAGCUGUUUCAGUUCUCAUGGACAUCCAGCAGUUCCAUAGCAGCUGCAGUGCUGCUAAAUUAGUUCAUGUUUUUAUUGAUAAUGACAAUAGUCAUUGAACCUUUUGAGCAUAUAUACUCCCCUAUUAAAAAAUAAGAGCAUAUUAUUCUCCAACACUACAAGGCUUGCAAAUUUAAUGACACUUUCUUCUUUUUGCCCUAGUUUGUUUCCCCCCUUUCUUCGACAUUUAUAACUAAACACUGCUACUCCCUCUGUUCACUUUUGUAAGUCGUUUAAGACAGCUGAAAUUGAAUUGUUUUAGGUGCUGUCUUAAAUGUCUAAAAGGUCUUACAAAAGUGAACAGAGGGAGUAUUAAUUUAUCCCUCUCUUAUUACCAAGACAUCAAUACCAUGGAUAUCAUGUUUACUUCCCUUUACUUCUCUUGGUUUCAUACCAUUCCCAAUCCACUCGUAGCAAACAAAGUAACACCUUACAUCUGAAUGGACGGAGUAGCACAGAGUUGACAGUAAUAAUUUUUUCUUGGGUAUGCUUGUGUUUUUUCAGGAAAGAUACGAAAAGGAGCUGAAGGAUACGAGGGCCCGGGAGCUCAUGUACGCUGAAGAGGCAGCAAUUCUGGAUAAGGUGAGUCAGGCAUGCCUUUUCUGGUUUCCUUAUGCACGCUCAAGUCAUGUGUACGCUUGUAUGUUUCUUCAGUGAUGAGCCAGUUUGCUAGAUGUAAAAUUGGUAAUAUUAUUGGAAAUUUCAUGAAAACGACAAUAUAUGGAAAAUCUUUUUCAUUGUUACGUUGAGAUGGCACUAACGUGAUCAAUCCAGGUAUUUCUAUGUAUAUUUCGAGUGUUCCACCCAACAAAUAUUGCGUCGACGUACGUGUAGACGUUGAAGGAGUAGUAGUUUAACAAUAUUUCUCAAAUGUUAGUGAAAUAUGGAUUAAAUAAAAUCAAAACAUCAGAAUUAUAUCUGCACAAUGUGCAUGCUUUUCUUCACUCUUGUCAGUGUAUUUUAGUAUGCACUAUACUUGUAUAUAGUAUCUUUUGUCUGUGUUUUAGUUUCAGAUGAUUGCUUUAAUUUUGUGGCAUUUUGAAUUUCAUGAUGUUGCUUCAGGAGCUGAAGAAAGAGAAAAUGAAGGCUGCUGCUGCAGUUAAAGAACUUCAAGAAAAAACUGAACAAAAGCUGAUGGAUGAGCUGCAGCGGAAGGUCUGUCAGAUGUGCUUCGGUGUGCCAUAUUUUUUCUACCCUCCUUACAUCAAUUCUUUAUGUGACUGUACUAUGACUGACAUAAUAGGAUGAGGAAGCAAGUCAACAAGUUGAGAAGGUACAAGAGUUGGCAAAAGCCGAACUGGCCGCAGCUCUUGCAAAGGAGAAAGCAUCCCAGAUCGAACAGAUUGCUGAAGCAGAUCUCAAUGUAUGAACCUGUACCAUCUUUUCUUUUACGAUGAUAGGCAAUGUUGUAAACAGCCUUAUGAGGUUGGCAUACUGCAACCCCAGUACCCUAUACCAAUACUUCAGGAGAUGCGCGUGAUAGUAGCACGUGUCUCUCAAAUGCGGUUUGCUGAAUUGAGCGGUUUCCUUGAAAGCUUUAGUGGUCGCACAAAAAUGGUAAUAUCUAUAUACUGCUGGAGUCUCCCCUACAGCUUUCAUUAAAAAUACAGAUUAUCUUAAGAUCAUGUGGACAUAUCAAUUGAGUAAGUGCACUCCAGAUAAUUCUUAGAGACCAUGGUACUAGAACAUGCUCACUUGCAAUGAACUAAGGAGCAAGCGAAUUGGUUGAAUAGUGAAAUUGGAUGGAUUUUAUUGCAAUCAAAGGCAGAACAUUAUCUAAGAAGGGACUGUUUUCCUUCUUUUAAAAUAAUAGGCGAUCUUUGUUUGUUCUAUCUUCCAUGUAUACAUCUUCCAUUGCUAGACAAUUUGUGCAGUGUGUACAGUUUCAGCUUGCUUGCACUUGUUUACUGCCUUUUUGGGUUUAUUUUCAGAUAGAUGCUUUGUGUAUGGCAUUCUAUGCGCGAUCUGAAGAAGCUCGGCAGAGUCAUUCUGUUCAUAAGCUUGCUCUAGUAAGUAUUUCACUUUGAUCCCAUCAUGUACUCGCUUCGGAAGGCUGGAAGCUUAGUUAUUAUUGUCUAAUCCUCUGCUUUCAGAUUUCUAAUGACAUAAUUCUUAAUUCUCUGCAGGGCACUCUUGCUUUGGAAGAAGCUCUAUCCAGCGGCUCGCCAAUCCGGACAGAGGUCGAUCAAUUGCGUAAAUCUCUUGAAGGUAUUGAUAAAGAUUCACUGUUAGAAUUGGCUCUUUCAUCGCUUCCAGAAGAUGUUCUCAAGUAUGGAUCAGAUACCCAGAUGGAGUUAAAACAGAAGGUAGGUUUUGUGCUGCAAUAAAUGUUCACAUCUGCUUACAGCUUUUUAUUUGUGUAAUGUACUGUUGUUUAAUAUGAACUCAGUGUGAAAACUCAAGUAAUAGUAAUGCAUUCCUGAUUGUUGUAUCAUUUUGAAUAUUAGAGAUUGCUAUUUACUUGCAGAUGUUAAUUACUUGUUUUGUUUGUAAACACAUACAAGUCGUUUCAGAUAGGGGCACACCCUGCAACACACACCUUUCACAUCCAUACCUUUGACCAUUAUUUUUCUAGUUAUAUGUAGAAUAACUAUAAUGAUCUGCAAGUACUUUUGAUGCCCAAAACAAUAUUCAUUCCCAUUUGAGAACCUGAAUACUUGGUAAAAGCAUUGUUGAGGAAAUCGUUAACUGGUAGCUGCUCGGUGGGCUGGUGAGUAGGGGAUUAAUAGGCUAAUCGGCAAGUUAAUCGGCCAUUUAAUCAGUUAAUCGGACGAUUUAUCGGGUAAUCGGCUACUCGGGGACCCUAUGAGUAGGGAUUAAUCGGCAAGUUAACUGGUUAAUCGGAUGAAUUCUUGAACAGGGGGUAAAAGUCAUAUCUCUAUUAAUCAUGCAAUGAUGUACUGUCAGUUGUCAUGACACUUAUUGAGCAAAAACUAGUCUGGCUACCCUUACCAUCAUUUCUUUUUGCAGUUUAAUUCCUUGAAGGCAACAGUCAGACAUUUCGGUCUUAUACCAUCAGGUGGUGGUGGUAUACUUACGCAUGCUGUCGCUCAUGUUGCUUCUAACAUCAAGGUGUGUUGAUACAGGCAACUUUCUACUGGUCAAUGAGAAUUCUAUAUUGUGGAACCUGAAAAUUUUGUAUCUGAAUCUUCUGAUCAAGAGCUAUCUAAUGCUACUAUUUAUUCAAAGCAUUAUCUAAUUUCAAGUCCAGACAUUGUAUUGCCUCCACAUUUUUCACUUGUACUCCCUCCGUUUCUAAAUAUGUCUUUCUAGAGAUUUCAAUAUGGACUACAUACGGAGCAAAAUGAGUGAAUGUACACUCUAAAAUAUGUCUAUAUACAUCCGUAUGUAGUUCGUAUUGAAAUCUCUAAAAAGACUUAUAUUUAGGAACGGAGGGAGUAAUAGUUGUCCUAGUUGACCCCCUGGGUUCUCUCCACCAGGCUUGAUAGAGCAUGGUUAUCCUUUGGACUCCUUAUAGCAAUGGAUCCUUCUGGCAUGGUUACAAUCAGUGAUCAUCUUAUUAGUAAAUUCGGCCGUCCUUAAUAAAAAAUACCUGCACUGAUGAGAUACUGUUGAAAUUACAAAUUAUGCUUCUAAAUCUGUUGCAACUGGUUUCAGGUCGAAGAGGACCCAUCUGGAGAUGGUCUUGAGUCUCUCAUAAGCAGAGUGGAAGACUUGAUUGUAGGAGGAGAUUUGACCGCAGCAGCCGACGCCCUGACAGGAGGGUUGCAGGGGACCGCAGCGGAGGAAGCAGCUGCCGAGUGGGCGAAGCAGGCAAGGAAACGCGCGAUUGCAGAGCAGACGCUCACCCUGCUUCACUCGUACGCUUCUUCGAUCACAUUUUCGUGAUCUCGAUCAUUGAUGGAUCUUUUUUUUCUUCUAUUUGGCAAGAUUUACAUGCCAGCGCUGCAGAUUUCACGAUACUCACAUGUUUCUCUAUACCAUGUCGCAAAUGCAUGGUCCUUGUAAACAGAGAUAAUAAAUUUUGCCGUGUAGCCACUUGGUAUUGUGAUACUCCAGUCGCCAGACAAGUUUGGAUAGAUAUGUCAAACCUUUUUUUCCUUCUUUUUACUGAAAAUGUGAUGUUCGUGGUCUAGCUGCUAUGGCACAGUGUAAGGUUGCAGGGGGAGGAACGCUUAUGUUGCAUGCAGGAAUUUCCUCACUGCAAGUGAUCCACUGAAAGGUUUGAGUUCAGUACCUCUUUAAUGAGGCUGGGCACAGAAUAGCCGCUCUGACCAUAUAUAAUUCGGGCUUGGAAAACAAAAAAUUCCUGUGUAGAGAUUACAAUUUUAUCAGUCAGAGUGCUCUUAUAUCUCAGUCCGUCACUUUACUAUCUCUUCCAACAGGGCUCGGUUGCAACUAUUGUUCAGGUGUAUGAGCAACAUGAUUGAGCGAGUAUUGUUUUUUGAGAAAGGAACAAAAGACUAAAACGCUUAAAUGCACGAGUUUCUAAUUCAGUGCUCUGCAUCACAUACUGCGCAUCCUACUUAUCAAAGAAUCAAUAGCUUCAAAGUAUUUUGUUCUUUGAGAAAACCUAAAAGCUUGACCUCCAGACCACCAUGCUUCGAACCAACUGUUGUGCUCCACCUCCAGCACCGCGGUAGGCAAAGGAGGGAUCCAAUGCGUUUUAUAUUCACACGACCGCGGUAGGCAAAGGAGGGAUCCGACGCGUUUUAUAUUCAGACGACCGCGGUAGGCAAAGGAGGGACAGCAGGUCUUCCAGCACAGCGUCCUCUAGCUGCUCGCCGGCCCGCGUCUCCGCGACCAUUGUUUAGACUAGCCACAAUGGGUGUUAUUAGUCUAUGUUACUACCUCUAUAGUGGGGAGUAACAUAUGUGUGGUAAUAUGGAGCCCUUCAUUUAUUAAGCUAUAGACACAUUUUGCCUUGAUAUGUGUGAUGUUACUCAUACUAGUUAUGUUACUACUUUCAUCUCUUUCUUCAUUUAUUGCAUAUGCCACAUCACCUAUUUAACCUAGAUAUGUGUGAUGUUACUACCUAUGUUACUCCCAUUGUGAGUAGUCUUAUAUCCAGACGGAGGGAGUGAUGAACAUCUCUAAUUAUUUUAGUAUGCAAUAUCACUCAUACUAAUUAAACAACCAUGACAAUAACAAAUAAUUUCAAUCUCAAGUUUCUUAAUAGGACAUUGUCGGCCCAGUGGGAACCAGAGUACCACGAGCCGUUUGCCUGCGGCCCAGGAAGCGACACCAGGUGAAGGACUCAAGAGGCGACCCAACCAUGGGAGCCACGACGUAAGAUGACUCGCGAGGGCCAUGCCUCGUGAGGACCCUCUCCGCGAAGCAAGCACUACCGAAAACCGUCUCCCACGGCAGGUAGACUCGCGAGGCCUGUCUCAUAAGGCGGCCUCCCAUGAGGCCCUCUGUGGGGGGAAGCUGCGCGACAUGGAUCACGUAGCUACGUACCCACCACAUGGGUGACACGCCUGCGCAAGAUGACAACAGUAGGGGCCAUGCCAGUAGGCGCGGUCAGGGGAGGUUUCCUUUUUGGUGAUAAAGGAGCAGCGGCGGCUACCUCCCCCCCAAAGCAAGUUCCAAAGCCUACCACUUCGGUGCGAGAAGACCAGGAAGACACGACGCACUAGGGCAGAUGUCAUCGGCGAGCUCACCAGCGCGUCAUGGAUAGGGUCUUUUCUAGGCGGAGACUGCUUUUGUCAGGAUAGGACUGAGCGUCUGCUCCCCUUUGAAUUGUCAUUGUGUGGCAACCCUUCCCGCCAAUAUUUUCGAGGAAGAGGACCCAGGGUUUUUCGAGGGUUUCCCUUAGCUCAAACCUCUCCCUGACAGACAUACAUCUAUUAACAUCUAACAAUUCAGACAAAUUAGCGGGCAUGGCCAUCAAGAAAGUUAAAAUAAAUAAAUCAAAUGCACUAACUCUGAUAAUCACACAUUAAACCCUAAAUAACAUCUUAUCGUUUUCACUAGGGACGAUCAGAGUAUGGUGUCCCUGCUAGCUAGGGAUGACAUGAUCUCUUCUUUUGUUACCCCACAAAAUGUGUUGAUCAUUUCACUCCCUCCCGCCCAACUGUACAACCUUUUUCUAGACAUAUUGAUACACGAAUCAACAUUAAGGCUAACAACGAUAGGACCGUAUAGACGCCACUACAUAUGACAACCAUAUAUAUUGCACCGUGAAUAGUGAAGAAACAUGUGUUGUAAUAGGACGUAGGUAGAGUACACUCAGGCAUGAACUGCCGCAGUCCACUCUUCCUCACUCAGGGCUGGUGUGCCUGCAUGGCCGGCUGCAGUGAGUGCAUGCAUGGCUGAUUGCAUAGUCAUUUAGCCAAUACUACAUAAAUACAAUGAUAGUAAAUCGUGCCCCUGGGUCAAUAGAGUAUUACCGCUUCACUUGUUAAAUAAGAGAAGUGAUUUUUCACUGCCAUUAUCAUACCACUACUAGAAAAAGGCCUACUAAUGGCGCACCAGUUUUGCCUACUAAUGGCGCACUCUGUAGUGAUGCGCCAUUAGUAUGAAUAUUAGAUUUUUUUUUACUUUUCUGAUUUUUGCACAGGUUACAAAAUAUAUUAGCACACAGCAACAACAGAUUCACCGAAUACAAUAGAAGAUUAGUCUCCGAAUACAAUUCAUCAUAUUAGUCUCCGAAUUCAAAAGACUGAACAAAGAUAAAACAUUACAAGUCCCGAGACCGCGAGUAUCGAGUUUGUCUUCACAUUACAAGUCGAUAUCGAUCAUCUAAACUACCAUCACAUAGAAGAGAGCUGCGGUCAUCACGAUGAGCAUCAUCGCGAUGAAACUGGUCUUCAUCCGGUUCCUCCAACGCUCCCUCCUCUCUCCCGCUAGACAGCGGGCGUAUCUAGAUUCCGCCUCCGCCCUAGUGGUGUACCCUUUGUAACUGUUACCGUUGAAACGGUGAACCUGUCUCCGACACUCCUCCCAGUCGUCGUAGACUCCGGGAACCUUACCCUUGUACACGACAUACGACAACAUCUCUAUGCACAAGCCAAACAACAGACAAUACAUACAUAAGCAAUAUAUAAGUAUGCAACAAAAUGAUCGGAAGAGAAAAGUAAGACAUUAAUAGCACGAUUCAUGGUCCUACUAAUAAAUAGCAUCGAUUACAUCUAAGUUGAACGACUGUCCAAACCAAAGAGACCUACAAUUCAUUAAAGUUUAAUUACAACAUGAGCCAAUCAAUGUUUCAGAACUACACAUCACUACUUUCGACUCGACUCAUGGACAGGAGCGUGGAUGAAGCCGCCGUCUAUCGUGAUGGUCAUGAAAUCGCGGGCGUUGUCAGCCUGCAUUUGUAGCAUUCCGUCUAUCUCAAUGUUGAACGGUUGAUAUCUGAGGAAGAACUGCCCCGAGGUAUGAAGGACAUCUUGAUGGAUGAUGUCCGCAAACUCCGACUGGAUGCGAAAAAAAUUCUUGUCUGAUGUCCGCGUCCUGGAUUGCCGACAAGCUCGCGGCCCAAUCUUUGAGAUUAUUUGGUAGCAGAAGGUGAUGAUGGUCCCUAAUGAUCGCCCACAUGUGAUGGAAGGCGUAGUAGGCAUCCUUCUGACCGCCAGGCGGCUGCUUGACGCAGCAGAACAUCGUAUUGUGGGCGAACACGUGCUUGCCGUACUUACGAACUGCCCUGAUGAAGGUGCCUCCAGAUUUGGCGUAGCCGGGGAGAACAUCAUCAAGAACUUUCUUGAUAUUUGUGUAGUCUAUCUUGGAGUUACGGUUCGGGUCGAAAUACGUGGCCAUGGAAUAUUUCGGGCUUAAGAGGAUGAGUGUGCAAUGUGUGUCACUGCACAGAACACGGAAUGUUAGAAAAGAAAAGAACGAUCAAAAUCUAAGAAAUCAUAUGUUACGGGGCGGUUAAGGGAUGACUUACUCGGGAAAGUAAGCCACAAGGAAGUUAUCCUUAUCUGGGUUUGCCAGAAUAACGUCUUCGAGGUGUGAACUCGCGACUUGGCGGUCCCCAGCGCUGCUCAAGAGCUUGGCACGCAUGUAGAAGGGGUCGACGAUCACGAUGUCCGGGGUCUUGUCUCUAAUGAUCCGCAUCUCCAUACUCAGCGAAAACAGCCGAACGAAGGUGUAGUGCAGUGGAUGAAGGUUGAACAUAGCAAAGAUGUCAUCAAACCGCAGGACGAUUGUACCCCCAAUGGCGCCAUCCACAAAGCCCUUGCCCUCUAGCACCUUGGCCACGAAAACCGGGUAUGCUACAUCAUUCUCUCUGAGACGCCGCUUCUCCAAAGAAAAAACACUGUCGUGCAGACUCCGCAUAGCACCGGUUGCAGCAUUGAGCAUAUUUGUCGGUAGCAUCGCCCUACCCGCCACAUGCACCCUCCUCGAGAUAUCCUUAGGUGAAGGUGGCCCGUCCUGAGCACGGAUCGUACUCGGUGCCGGCUGGCUCGCACCGGCGGCCUUUUUAGUCGGCCGUUUCCGGCCCUUCUUCUUGAUCUGCUGUAAUGGGACCAAGUUCUGCUCACAGACCGCCUUCUUGAGCGUGUUGGGGCUGAUAAUAUUUGGCACCUCCGCUAUCUGAGGCUCGGUGAAGGCGGCAGCUGGAGGCGUCUCCUGAGAACUGAACGCCAGACGACGCCUGUUGCAAUUGGGUUUCUCCGCCGUACCAGCUAGAUCGCGGUCGUCUUGUUUGGGUUCUUGAGAAGGAGGCCCGCAGAACUCGUCACCGUACCCAUGUUCGACAAAGUACUUAUCGACGUUGGUAAAUGUACCAUCGUCGUUGUCGUCGUCGUCCGGAUCCUGUGCCAUAGGGAUGUCCGACAUGUCCGGUAGCGUUGCGGCGCUCUUGCCAUGGCUUGGCGCCGGCACGACUGGCGGUCUUGUCUGUGGGGUGGUGUCCCCCGCCCCCAAACGAAUGUGGCUCUUCGGCCAAAGCAGGGGCCAGCUUACGCAGGCGCUGAGGGUCAUCUCAUCUUCUUCGUCGGCCCCAGCGGGUCAAAUCAGAGGUAACAGCUCGUCGCAGCCUGGCAGCACCCGAACCACUUCAACCCUAUAUAUUGUGGGUGGCAUCGGAUUACCGUGGAACACGGGGUUGCCCGGUUGAAUGAUUCUGCCCUUGGCGACAUCGACCAACUCGCCGCCCACGAAGUGUAGGAGAGUGCAAGGAACGUCGGCGGCGCCCUGCGAAAACAUGUAGGGCGUCAGGGAUGCCCAGUCAAAGGCAAGGAGAUGAAGUCCUCGACCGAGAGGCUUAGUUACCGUGAUGUCGUCGAGCUCGGCUAAUGUCGAGGCACCGCCAACGGCGGGCGUGCAACUGACGGAGGGGGCGCUUGCUGGCGAGGUGCCUGCCGGCGUACACCUGGGUGCAUUAAGCUCCAAUGCCGGCGUCGGAGAUACCAAUACUGCCGCCGCCGGAGACACCAAUGGCGCCGCCACCGUAGACACCAAUACCACCGCCGCCGGAGACACCAAUGGCGCCGCCUGCGUGUUGUGCGAGUUGCUGGCCAUGAAGCUAGAAAUCGGGGGCGGCCCCUGUUGGCCACCCGCAAUCCACGUCGUUAUCCCAUGAAUCAAGGUAGGCAUAAUGCCGGUGAGCGUUGAUCCCAGUUGUUGUUGCACUUGCUUUUGGACCAUCUUCGGAAUCCGCGCCACUUGCGCCUUGAGUGCUUCAACCUCGCGCGACUGGCUUUUCGAGCUGGUCUUUUUCUCCUUUCGCCCACCAGCGACAUAGUAUGACGACCAUUUUGUGGACAAGCCUUUGCCGGCCACAUGACCAGCUAACGUCGGCUUAUUGAGCUUAUCCCUGUUUUUCAUUACGUUCAACGCCCUAUUCAAAGGGGUGUCGAAAGGGGAGCUCUGAGACGACCCCGUGCUAUUGCUUUCUUUGUCCCGCGGAAGGAACGUGAACCAUUUAGAAAUACUGGGGAUUAAUUAGAAUGCAACCAUAUGGAGCUAAUUACGCGGGGGUGUAUUCCUUACCAGAACAAGCUCAAGCUCCUUGGUCUUCGGAUCCGUGGUAAGCUCCUUUGUUACCGGGUCCUCCUUGUACCGGGCCCUGAGAAAGUUCCUGGUCUGCUUGUCACUGUAUUUCUCGAAGCGGGGCGGUAGGCCUUGCUCGGCACGCUCCGCGUCCUCCUUGUCUCAUACAGGCUCCGCCACUCUGUAACUGCCGGGACCGAGUUGGUGGACCCCUAUGUUCAACUGCCGCAUUUCUUUCCCCCACUGACUUGAUUUGGAGGCUGCGGGGCUCUCGCACUUGAUCUUGAACUCCUUGUAGUCAUCUUCGCUCAUCAAAGGAUAUUUCGCCUUGAUCUUCUCAUAACUAUCACCUUUGUCAAUCAUUGCCUUCAUCGUGCUUUUCCAAGUAGACAGGGUCGUGCUCAUCGUCGUGAGAGCGGCACCGUUCACUUUAUUACCCGAGAGGCGUGUGUUUGCGAACUCAGCGGGGAACUUGUAUCGUUCGUGCAGCUUCGUGAAGAGGAGGCUGCGCGAAUUCCCUCAGUCCUUAUGCCUUAGGUUCUCGGUGUUGAUCGAGGCGGUGCUCCGGAGAAUGCACCCGAGCUGAAUCGAGUACCCCUUGACUACGUGUUUGGGCGCCGUCGGAUGCCCGUCGGAGUUCACUUCAGUAAAUUCCUCCCUGACGGUGCUGAGCACGUUUGGGCGCCGGUCCUUCCGUUGCCUCUUCGGUUGGCUGCCAUCUGUGCGUGCGCCUCCAUCAUCAGUGGUGGCAUCCGCGGCGCCAUCAUCAGUGGUGUCAUCCCCGACGCCACUAGGGGUUGUGUAGUUAGGAUCGGUGUCUUCCGCGGCGUCCUCAUAGCGGUGAGGUUCUUCCUCCAACUCCUGGGACAGCUCCCAGAAUUGCUUGCCGCCCAAACCGCCGGCCUCAUCAUUGUGGGCCAUGUUUCGCUCUAAAUAGGAAAAAAGUUUGGUCAAAAAGUUGGUUAUUGUCAAGGAACAAGAUCAUGGUCUCAUCAUUUAGGGUUUGUCGACACCGAGGCAUCCUAAAAGCUAAGCUUUUAUCAUUUAGGGUUUGUCGACACCGAGGCUCCCUAAAAGCCUAAACGUACAUCAUUUAGGUUCUCAUCGACACCGAGGCACCCUAUAGAAGCCAAGUUAAGUUUUCAUCAUUUAGGGUUUAUCGAUGCCGAGGAACCCUAGGUUGGGCCUAAUCACUUGGCACUAAUCACUUGGCUCUAUUGCCACCUAUGUUGGGUUUAUCAUCUAGGGUUUAUCGAUGCUAAGGAGAAUUCUAAGUUGGGCCUAAUCACUUGGCUCUAUUGCCACCUAUGGUUUAAUGCAACAAGAAUGGCGGGGCAGUUGAUCCUACUUAACUAAGUACCAAGAUACCCCGACCCAUGCAUUAGUCGCAAGUACCCCAUAUGUCCUAUUUUUAGCAAAGUCAUGCUAAAAUUCACAGAAAAUUUCAGCACGACCUUUGCUGAAAAUAGGACAUAUGGAGUACCCGAAUUUGCCGGAACGGAAGUUAAUCGACAUUCCGGCAAACUCAAGGGCCUCUCGGGGUACCUGCAAUAUCAUUAUCCCUGCGUAAUGAAGUCGCCAAUGGGUCAUUUCAGAAGAUCACAAGUAGCAUAUCAUCACAAGUACAACAUCAUCUAUAGCUUUAUAUUAACAAAGCAUAAGCACAUAUACAAAAGACCACUUAUGCCAACAGUAUGGUAUAUAUCAGAUUCAGAGUUAGAAACAGGAAAAACCGGUGCUUCAAAGCCUACUGGACACAAUUUACAUCUAUCAGUACGGGAUGUCCUGACUAAUUUCAAGUGUUCACAGGUGAACUUGUACCAUGGAUGAGCCUAGUGCUUCAUUAGUCAACUGAACAGAGAUAACAGGGCAUAACACCAUACAUAAAGUGAUGAGCAUACAUACUACUGUCCAAGCAAAUUAACUGAAUAGUAUUGUGUCAAGUUCAGUUUAAAAAUCCAGUUACUGCUUGAGUGAUUUGACACCAAAAAUUACUCCCAAAAAUUACAAUGACUGUAUAUAUUCACUGUACAGGCUGUCAAGUUCUAUUUCAGCUCAAGUUGCAUUACAACACAAACACUGUAAUUCAUCUGCUCACAGAAAAAUUAAUAAUCAAAAUCAAAUUACAAUAGGGGUCCCAGGUUUGACCCCAUGAUAUGUGCUAUCCUGGGAUUAUUCCUCUUCUGAACAAACCAUCAUGCAUCAUUUUCUAACCAAGGCAUAGCUCAGGAAAACCACUUGCUUUGACCAGAACUAGCUGAUUACCCCAAAUCUCAUGGUAAAAUUAGCAAGGCAAAGCAUUUCUCUGACAUGACCAUAGCAAGAAUGACACACUAUAUAUAAUCUGGUGAGAUAGCAGCAGCAAUCUCAAAAAAAGCAGAGACAUCAUACAUACCACCUGAGCAUCGCCCACAGACAUCCAGGCACAUCACCCACUAUUGUUGCCUGUAAAAGGCCUAAUAUCCACUAGUAUUGCCUAUUGAUCAUAUACUACCUACUCAUAUUUUAUUCAGUCAUUUUACCAGUUGUUUAACCACAGAUUAGGGUCUGUCUAGGAGGUUAGUCAAUGUAAAAAUUGAAAAGCUAGCUAGCAGUACAGUAAGCAGCAGCAGUAUUAGUGUAGCAGCAGGGCAAGAGCUUCAGCAGAAGCAGCUCAGGCAAGCGCAGGGGCGCGCGCGGGACGACAAGUAGGGCCGGCAUGGCUAGGUGCGUGCGCGGGUGUGCAAGGCAGCGAACGGCCGCCAGAGGCAGCAGCGGCAGCAGGACACCGCGGGAGGCCCGGAGCUGUGGCGGACGCGACUGCUCACGCGCGAGGCACCGCAGUAGUAGCGCGUAGCAGCAAGCGGUCGGCGAAGAGAGGGGAGGGAGGGAAUGGGGAAUGGUGGAGAGAGGGAGAAAGGAGGAAGGAGGAGAGGUACCUGGUCGCCGGAGGGGUCAGGGUCGGCAAAGGGGUCGGGGUCGGGGUCCGAGCUCGUCUGGGUCCUUGCUCGCCGCGGUCAAAGGAGAACAGGGGCCGGUGGCGGAGGACGGCAGGAGCAGGCGGGUGGGUGCGUCGGGGCCGCGCUCGCUAGCUGCUGCAGGGGNNNNNNNNNNNNNNNNNNNNNNNNNNNNNNNNNNNNNNNNNNNNNNNNNNNNNNNNNNNNNNNNNNNNNNNNNNNNNNNNNNNNNNNNNNNNNNNNNNNNNNNNNNNNNNNNNNNNNNNNNNNNNNNNNNNNNNNNNNNNNNNNNNNNNNNNNNNNNNNNNNNNNNNNNNNNNNNNNNNNNNNNNNNNNNNNNNNNNNNNNNNNNNNNNNNNNNNNNNNNNNNNNNNNNNNNNNNNNNNNNNNNNNNNNNNNNNNNNNNNNNNNNNNNNNNNNNNNNNNNNNNNNNNNNNNNNNNNNNNNNNNNNNNNNNNNNNNNNNNNNNNNNNNNNNNNNNNNNNNNNNNNNNNNNNNNNNNNNNNNNNNNNNNNNNNNNNNNNNNNNNNNNNNNNNNNNNNNNNNNNNNNNNNNNNNNNNNNNNNNNNNNNNNNNNNNNNNNNNNNNNNNNNNNNNNNNNNNNNNNNNNNNNNNNNNNNNNNNNNNNNNNNNNNNNNNNNNNNNNNNNNNNNNNNNNNNNNNNNNNNNNNNNNNNNNNNNNNNNNNNNNNNNNNNNNNNNNNNNNNNNNNCGGGGGGCGCGGGGGCGGCGGGGGUGGAGUCCCGCGGGGGUCGGGGCGGCAGCGUCGGGGCAGCGCAAGACCACGAUGGCGGUGGCGGCGCCGACAGCGUGCAGGCGCGGCGGACGGAGGGGGCGGAGCAAGGGGGCGGCGGCGUACGUUUGGGGUCGAGUGGGGGAUCUGGCGAGGGAGGGAGGCCACAGUGCGAGGGGAAUAGGUGGAGUGGGGGAGGGUUAGCAAUGUCGCACCUCCCCCUAGUGCGCCAUAAGUACGAUGAUUCUAAUGGCGCACCUCCCCUGGUGCGCCAUUAGAAUUUUAUUUUAAUUACUAGCCCGACUGGUCAGGUUAUAUUCCACCUAACCCUAUCUCCAUCAGAACACGCCCACUAGCUUGAUUGGUCAGCACGUAGCACACACACUAGGAGGUCCUAGGUUCGAUUCCCAGGCUCCCCAAUUUUUGUUUUUAAAAUGCUGUUUGAUAUUUAUUUGUGUUUAAAUAUGUUCAAACUUGUUUAAAUCAUAACAGUAAUAUUUUUUAUAAAAAAGUAAUAAUUUUUUAAAUAAUAUCAUCAAAUUUGUUAUUUGAAAAUAUUUAUGAAUAUGAAAAAAUAUAAUCAAAUUUGUUUUUUUUUGCAAUUUUAGUUGCAUUCAUUUGUGACGGUGGAGCGGGCCGGGGAGGGCGCGGUGGGUCGUCGGCGACGGUGGAGUGGGGGAGGGUGCGGGCCGGGGGUCGGCGGCGGCGACCGGUGGAGCGGGGGAGGGUGCGGUGGGUCGUCGGCGACGGUGGAGUGGGGGAGGGUGCGGGGGGUCGGCGGCGGCGGCCGGUGGAGCGGGGGGUGCUCGGCGGUGAGGGGGACCGGAUCUGGCGAGGUGGGAUAGCAAUCGAGAUGAGGUGAGGAGGAGGAGGCAACCGACAAGCUCAGAGAAGGAGGUGAGGGGAAUGAAGUGGGGAAAGUGAGUGUGUAGGUGUGGCUGUCCAAAAAUAUCUAGCUGGUCCUAGGUUACUAAUGGCGCACCACAGAGACAUGCGCCAUUAGUAACCCAACAUUACUAAUGGCGCACCACACAGACAUGCGCCAUUAGUAGUUUUGCAAAAAAGUAAAAAAUAAUAAUUUCUAUACUAAUGACGCAUGGCGCACUAUGCAAUGGUGCGCCAUUAGUAGUUUUGCAAAAAAGUAAAAAAAAAUACAGUAGUGGCGCACUCUACGGCUGGUGCGCCAUUAGUAGUUCUAACUACUAAUGGCGCACUCUGCCUGGAUGCGCCAUUAGUAUGUUUGAAAAAAUGAAAAAAAAUAUUUUGUUACUAGUGGCGCACCGUGUGCCUGGUCCUAGGUUCGAUUCCCAGGCUCCCCAAUUUUUGUUUUUAAAAUGCUGUUUGAUAUUUAUUUGUGUUUAAAUAUGUUCAAACUUGUUUAAAUCAUAACAGUAAUAUUUUUUAUAAAAAAGUAAUAAUUUUUUAAAUAAUAUCAUCAAAUUUGUUAUUUGAAAAUAUUUAUGAAUAUGAAAAAAUAUAAUCAAAUUUGUUUUUUUUGCAAUUUUAGUUGCAUUCAUUUGUGACGGUGGAGCGGGCCGGGGAGGGCGCGGUGGGUCGUCGGCGACGAUGGAGUGGGGAAGGGUGCGGGCCGGGGGUCGGCGGCGGCGACCGAUGGAGCGGGGGAGGGUGCGGUGGGUCGUCGGCGACGGUGGAGUGGGGGAGGGUGCGGGGGGUCGGCGGCGGCGGCCGGUGGAGCGGGGGGUGCUCGGCGGCGAGGGGGACCGGAUCUGGCGAGGUGGGAUAGCAAUCGAGAUGAGGUGAGGAGGAGGAGGCAACCGACAAGCUCAGAGAAGGAGGUGAGGGGAAUGAAGUGGGGAAAGUGAGUGUGUAGGUGUGGCUGUCCAAAAAUAUCUAGCUGGUCCUAGGUUACUAAUGGCGCACCACAGAGACAUGCGCCAUUAGUAACCCAACAUUACUAAUGGCGCACCACACAGACAUGCGCCAUUAGUAGUUUUGCAAAAAAGUAAAAAAUAAUAAUUUCUAUACUAAUGACGCAUGGCGCACUAUGCAAUGGUGCGCCAUUAGUAGUUUUGCAAAAAAGUAAAAAAAAUACAGUAGUGGCGCACUCUACGGCUGGUGCGCCAUUAGUAGUUCUGGCGCACUCUGCCUGGAUGCGCCAUUAGUAUGUUUGAAAAAAUGAAAAAGAUAUUUUGUUACUAGUGGCGCACCGUGUGCCUGGUGCGCCAUUAGUGUCUUCCACACUAAUGGCGCACCGACAGACGAUGCGCCAUUAGUAUAUAGUAAUGGCGCACCACAUGUCUGGUGCGCCAUUAGUGUCAAUUUCAUCUAUAGCGCUUUUCGUAGUAGUGUACGGUGUCAUGCUUCACGUGCCAAAGUGAGAUGCUGAGUGGGUGGACUCGUACUUCAAGGAAGCGCAACAUCCAGUGGCUAGCUAGACGUAUAGAGCAUCUCCAGCCGCUGCUCCCCAGGAGGCAUAAAAAUCGCCAUCUGGAGAUGAGCCGGCGGUAGAAUCGGCACUGGGGCGGUUGGGCAUCCAGCCGUCGUCUCCAGGCGCGGUUAUCGUGCCAUUUAUGGCCGCUUUUCGGCCCAGAUAAGUAGGAAAAUGGUCUGAUAUCGGCGAGAAACGGCCCAUAUUCGGCGUGGUUCGGUGUUGAAUUUUCAAUAUAAACAAUUUUUUUAUCACAUAGUUCAUCACAGAAAAUCAAAUAGUUUAACAAAAUAGUGCAACAACAAAUAGUUCAAUACAAAUUAUAUAAUUCAACAAAUAAAAACUCAUAUUUCAUCACACGUCGAGCCCGGCGUCGCCCUUGAUCCUCCAUAGAUGCUCCACCAGAUCCUGCUGCAGUUGAUGAUGCGCCUGUGGGUUUCGGAUCUCCUGACGCAUACUGCGGUAGGCAGUUCAGGUUGCCGGUAGCUGGUGAUCAACUUCGGUUAGAGGACCCUGCCUGUAGUAUGGUUCAGUGUUAAACACUGGCUUUUCCUGCUCGCUCUCGAUGAUCAUGUUGUGCAAGAUGACACAACAAGUCAUGAUCUCUCACAUUUGAUCUUUCGACCAGGUCUGAGCAGGGUACCGGACAACAGCAAAUCGAGAUUGAAGCAUACCAAAUGCCCGCUCGACAUCCUUCCUGCAAGCCUCCUGCACCUUGGCAAAGUGAGACUUCUUGCCUCCUAGCACAACGUUUGAGAUAGAUGUCAUCAGCUAGGUAGUACCCCUGGUUGUAGUGCCGCCCAUUGACCUCGAAGUUCACCGGAGGAGAAUGACCUUCAACAAGCUUGGCAAAGACAGGGGAGCACUGCAGCACGUUGAUGUCAUUGUGAGUUCCUGGCAUACCAAAGAAGGAGUGCCUAAUUCAGAGGUCCUGUGUGGCCACCGCCUAAAGUACCACACUGCAACCGCCUUUGGCGCCUUUGUACAUCCCCUGCCAAGCAAAUGGGUACUUCUUUCAUUUCCAAUGCAUGUAGUCGAUGCUUCCAAGCAUCCUAGAAAAUCCUCUUGCUGCAUUCUGUGCUAGCUAGGAUCCGAGUAGUGUCUUCCGCAUUGGGUGUUCGCAAGUAUUGCGGUCCAAACACUACCACCACUGCCCGACAGAAUUUGUAGAAACACUCAAUGGUGGUGGACUCGGCCAUGCGCCCAUAGUCGUCGAGUGAAUCACCGGGAGCUCGAUAUGCAAGCAUCCUCGUCGUUGUCGUGCACUUCUGGAUUGAGGUGAAUCCAAGUUUGCCGGUGCAAUCCUUCUUGCACUUGAAGUAGCUGUCGAACUUCCGAAUGGAAUUUACAAUCCCGAGGAAAAGCUUUUGGCUCAUCCGAUAACGGCGCCGAAAUGUUUUGUCGCCGUGCAAUGGAGCGUCGGCGAAGUAGUCGGAGUAGAGCAUGCAGUAGCCUUCGAGAUGAUGCCAGUUCUUUGCUUUCAUCCGCCCCGGCGCCGAGCCACCUCGCCGCGGCUUUUCAUUGCUCGCCAACAGGCCGGCGAGGGCGGCGAGGACCAUGAGAUGUUCCUCUUCCUGGAUGCCGGCCUCGGCUUCCCCCUCCAGCAGCGCGGCGAGCGCUUCCUCGUCGUCCGAGUCCAUUGCCGAGGCAGGCAAAUUGCCGAACACCUUGCGGGCGCGGUGGGCGCGCACUCGCCGCUACACUGCCCCUCCGCGGCCGGAAUGCCAGAAAAAUCGCCCAGUCGAUGGUGGAGAGGCUGCCUUGGCGAAACCUCUGCUCUUUUUCCGGCGGGAAAUGGGCUAUCUAGCGGUGGUGGGUGGUGGGCAGCGCCGGGAUCAGUCGGUUGGCGGCCGAGCGCGCGGGGGGUGGGAGACGAAUCUGGAAAAUAGACUUGACUUUUUGCCUGACAGUGUGGGCCAGACGUGCUUUUCCCUUGCGCCGGAACCCCCGAGUGCCCCCCAGUGCGUCGGGUUCGGCCUGCGAUCACCGGGCCCAAAAACGGGCCGAGCCGGCGGAUUUCGGCGUCCUGGGGGCGCGACUGGGGCGUUUUUUCGGCGCCGACGUGGAAAAAGUCGUCUGGGAGGCUUGUUGGGGGCACGGCUGGAAAUGCUCUUAGAUAUUAUUAGAGGGAUACACGCGCUUGGACACACCGUUUUUCACUUAUUGGAUAAGAUUUUUAUUUUAAUUUGGUUGGCAGGCUGUUAUGUUUGGCUGCCAUGUUUUGGUUUUGCUUGUCUUAGUGAGGCCUUAGUUGUGUUGGAGUUGGCCUCACACCUGCCGCAGAAGCGCUAGCGUUGAAGCCUUCCCUGCCCUCUCAUAGUCGGUGGGCAUCGCUGCAAAAGCCGAGAAGGGCAAGGACCUUGGGCUAUUGCCCAAGCCCACCCAAUAGAGAUAGGAGCCAGAUGGGUGAGGUGCAGUGGCCUUCGUGGUGACCUUAGCCUUCUUGGCCAGCGUGGCCAUGGGGACAGGGCAUGCUGCUGGUGGCCUUCGUGAUGACCUCCUUCAAAUCGCUAGCCAUUGGGUCGUUGUGCUUGGAUGGGCAGAUGGCGCCGAGAUUUGGCUGGAAGCACAAGAAAGUAAUGGCUGGUGGUUGGACCUCUGCUCAAGGCGACGCUAAGAACAUGGGAAAGUGACAUCACCACAUCAACCGAAAAUGCAACUUCACACCUAAACGGACAUCCCCUGUCUAUAUGGGCUGUCGAUUGCUCUAAGAUUCUUGAUUUGUUUUGGCAAUACUAGCAAAAGAGCCCGUGCGUUGCAACGGGAGAGAAAAUAACACAUGCUUUUAACCCAAUAACCAUGACUCAAGACCCUAAUUGGUCCACGUCCUUUACGGUGGCCUCGGCACUCACACAACGAAAACACAUUUGAAUGUGGUCAGUCCUAAGACGUCCUUUCUCUCUCAAAAAGAUGAGAAAUAUGUUGUUUUCCCCCGCGAGGUUUCUCAGAGGUGUGCAUGCGUGGUUAUUGAUGUUUCCUUUCCUCUCAAUAUGGUUUUAAUAGGUGUUUAUUUGUAAUUUGGAUCGCCGCCAGUACGAACGAAAAACGGACUGUGCACUAUAUAUUAAGUUUGCAUCAAAAAUAAUAUUUUAGAAAUAUUUAAUAGCUAACAAUAAUAUCAUAUUUAGAUUGUACAUAUUUUUCUAAUCAAAUUUCAUAUAUAACAUGUUAAAACCGGAGUUAUGAUUUAAAAUAUAUGAAUAAUUUUGUUGCUGCUGAUUGAUUAACCAAAAAGUCAGAGAUUUUCUGAGAAAAUGCAAAAAAAGAGUUCGACUAUGAUUUAAACAUGCACUGGGGAUUAAUUUACAGAAAACAAUGGGGAUUUUUUUAAAAUGGCAAGACGGUGAACCGACAAAAGCACUCCGUGCUUUAGAGGAUGUACUGUCGACAACUCAGUUUAGAUAAACUGAUUUCAUAUACUUGGAUCACAACCCUGAAUGUUUCCCCUCGAAACUGUAAGCAUAAAACCUGAUCCAAGUGCACCACAAAAUUUGCUCAUUUUCUCAACAUCAAGCUAAAAUUUCAGAAUCAAAUUGCCAAAAAAUAUUUCAGAACUGAAAACACCCCGAGUACAAUCGGAUAUAGAUAUAUGUCCACGGUCCAACACUAAUGAUCCAACUCAAUUUAAGGUGUAUUUGAAUUAGUGAGCGCUGCUUGAGGAUGCAACUCAAACUAAGGCACAAUAUAUAUUUGGAACUUACACCAAGCUGAGCUUGACCUUGUACAAUGAACUGUCCUGAAACCCACGCGCGCGCACACUGCGCCAGGAAGUUCUCCAUUGUCCCCGCUCGCAUACUGUGUUAGGAAGUUCUCCAUCGUCCAUGGCCCCUGGGCGGUUGUAGAACAACUCCGCCAUCACAUCACGCAACUGGCUGCAAUCAGAAGAACGGCGAGGGUCUCCUCAUCGUUGAUCUCUCUGUAUCCACCAGCCGCACCAACAGGUGAGCGGGCACAUGAUACCCUGCUCCCAGAUUAGCUUAAGCCAGAGAAACCAAAGCUGGGUUAGUAAGUUCGGAGUAAAAAUAGAAGAACAGAUAAGUGAUGCAGUGGACAGCUAAUUUUCCGACAUAGUAACAUCACAGCAAAAACUGUGGGUAUUACCUAGCACAAAUUGCAAUACCAGAAGGAAACAUCUCAGAUAGACCAAUAAAAUUUGGAUAACAAUGUGCACUCAGUUGCACAUUAAGUUGCUCAUGACAUAAAUGUCUGGAAAACAAACUUCCCGCCUCAGAGAGAAAAGCAAAUACGUAGAAAUACUUCGGGUUUCAUCAUUUCAUAAAAAGAAGAUUAUUGAAUCAUAGGUACUGGGGUAUGGUUAUCAUAGAAAUGUAUUAGCUUUGACAUCAGGAAGGACUCUGCUACUAACAGUUCAUUAAUCCUUAAAACAAUGCUGUAUAUAGUUUCAGUUUCAAAAUGUGACUCGUUCCCUGCAAAGAACUCAUGCACGCAUCCAUCCAGUUCAAUGAAAGAGCUACCAGGCUGCUUGGUCUUUCUGUUACUGUAUAUUCCUGUCCUCACUUUAUUUGCAUCAACACACCUUGAUGUGGUAGCAUAGACAGUUGUUUGGCUCCAAUACUUGGAUCCUUUCUACUACAUAUACUCUGCAAGUCCCACUUCUCCGCAAGCUCUGCAGGCAAACAACAACGACCGCCACAUUACCACAUCAGGAGCGAUGGGCAUAGGCCGACAGGCACGGCGUCGUCACCCAAAUAGCAGGAAGACGCAACCUUGUAUCGCAGGAUGGCCUUCAUGGAGAACUGACCCAAAGAUGAUGUUGUAGAUCUUGUGAAUGGGCGCCCACCACAAGUCCAGCACUCCACCAUCCGCAGCCGCCGUGAGCCCGCCAGCACUGGCCACAUGCCCUACCGUAAAACGCUGCACACUACUGCCUGCAACGCUGCUAGACCCAUAGCCUGCAGGCCACCAUCAUAGUCGCCACUAACCCGGGUCUUGACUUUGACCCUGCCCUUUUAAUCAAGUUCAUAGUUCCCAGAUCUUUGGGUCUGAAUGUGAUGGCAAUCUGCAUCAUGGUGAACAUAAUGACUUUGACCCUGCCCUGCUUGUUGCUUUUAGUGAACUCGGUGUGCUUGGCAUUGGCGAUGUAAAUACCGUCGAGCCACGUCUCAUACUGGAAACAUAAUGGGCCCCACAUUCAUUUUUAUCUCGAAAUAGAUAUAUAGAUGCGAAACAAAAUUCGACACUUGGUUGCUCUACUUUUAAAAGAAUCAAUACCAUUGCAAAGCUUGUGACAAAGACUGCAAUAUUCAAGUUGGGGACAUGAAUAAAUUAUUAACCAAUUAGUCCCAGAUCUCAAUGUAAACUGCUGCCUUUAUUUCCAAAAUACCAACUGCAUCUAUUGUGUGCGAUUUAUUCCAAUCAACACAUCAAACUAUCAUCUUAGGUAUAAUCUAGAUGUUACCUUUGACAUGUAGCUGGUCAAUUUGACUUCAACUUGAGAACUCCGAUGAGUAUUUUUCUCAGUGGAUGCCUGCUUCUUUGUUUGGCUAUGCACGCACACAUCAGCCUGAACCAGCACCGCUAGGAGCCAGCUCCAGCUCAACCCGCACCGCACUAAUGCAAUCCCAGCAAAGGCCUCCCUCCUCCCCCAACAUCGGCUCCCAUAGCUGGCCCUAUAACUCACCGUUGCGCUAGCCGAGUUGUGGUCGAGCUCUCCAUGGGCUCCGGGGUUGUGGGACUCCGGAGGCGGCUGGCGUGUUGUGGGACUCCGUGAUGCCGUCCAUGGCCACAACAGCGGCUACCUCCAGUAUCGCGAGAUCCACGACUACCCAGGAAGGAGAGGGGCGGCAUGUGCCAGCACAACGUCGAGUUUAAUGGCAGGGUGGUCCGGCCAUGGACACGGACCUGUUGCUCCCCACCAUCGCGCCGCAGUCCGUCCACCCGCUGCCAGAGCACACGCCGGUCUCCAACUGCGACGCGCCACCCCCGUCCUGUUGCCCGUCCCUGGCAUCCUCCUAGAAGGAAUGCCUCAUCUUCAGGCCCCACCACCCACCGCCGUGGCCCUCGCCUCCUCCCCAGCCGCCGCCGCACCACUACUGCCGUGAUUUCGAUCCAAAUCAGAGACACGGGAGCAAAGGGAGGCGCGCGCGAACGGUGGUGGUGGCGGUGGCAAAGGGCGGCGGCGCGGGCGGCGGCCGAGCGGAAGGCUGAGUUUGGUGGGCUGAGGCCCAGACGGAUCAGGGAGAAGUCCAACUGACUUAAAACAACUUCGACCUACCGAAAUUUUGACGAUGAAACUAUAGACGGUUCCCCGAAUUAGUACCACCUUGCGUAUAUGUUUUAAAUUCAAAUUGAAAGCGUAAAUUCACAGAAAGAAAGCGUAUUGUGACGGUGAACCCAUGGAGUCAAUCCAUGCUUUAUUAUUAGGGAUAUAUAUAUAGCAAAAGAGCCCGUGCGUUGCAACGGGAGAACAAAAUCCUCGUAUGCACCAAGCGACUCAUUCGUGUUGCCACUUAUAUCUAUCUCCCAUCUUCUCCUUCUGAUCUUAUUGUGGUUUGUAGUUUAAUAUGCCACUGUCCUUUAAUUUCGCCCCCUCUCUUUCGUUUCUCCAUCAGGAUAUUCACCUUCUGAUGAUACCUAGGUUUACCAUUUAUGCCACUGUCCUUUAAUUUUGUCCUUCAAAUUUUUAUACAUUGUACAUUUGACUACCUAGGAAGAUCCUGCUAGGGAUACACCUCAGGAGAUGAAACAUAGCUUCCACAUAUUUGAUAAUUUCAAAGUUGAUAAUGACCGUUCGUCCUCAGUGAACAUGUAUGUCUAAGUUUAGUAGUAACGAAAAUGUACCAAAUCAAACCAUGCAAGUCACACACCAUAUAUAACAGUAAUAUUUCUAAGCGCAUCAAGCAAAUUACUUUGUUAAACAGAGUAACCACACAGGCAAAUAUAUAAAAUCACGAAGAUGCACAUUAUUACAAUAAUUCUAUUGUGGUGAAAUUAAUAACAAAAAAUGAUUGUGGAAUUGGGAGGAGAUGAAUAAGAUAAGAACAGUUUGAUAUUGUGCAUUGUACAUUUCACUGAUUAAGGAGUUACAGGUUCACGAUUCAACUCGAAGGGAGAUCACAGUCAGCCAGAACAGCUAAAGCUCUCUAGUGUUGUUACUUCUCAGUCUACAAUAGAUUUAUUAGGUACACAAAUAUACUCAGAUGCAGCUUGGUCGUUGGAGCCCGGACAAGCUGUAGCAAAGGCCGACAUAGGUGUUUUCUUACAAAUUAACAGGCAACAUACCGAACAUGUAUACAUCUCUGUUGUGUCGCCACCAGUAGCAUCAGCUCUGCAGGUAGAAGCUUAUGGACUGCUGUUGGCGGUGAAGAUUGCAGCUCAACUACAUGUGCAGGAUCUGAAGUUUUGACAGACUCUGCCGUGCUUGCCUCAGCUGUUGUAGAACCUGGUGUUACUAAAGCAGGCCCGUGGGCUAUCCGGCCAAUCUUAGCUGCUAUCCAGACCACGCCUUCAUUUCAUCCAUGCAGAAUAAUCAAAGUGCAAAGGAGUCUGAAUUUCAGGGCACACCAUCAGGCUAGACUCGCUGUCAAAGUGCAAGAUAAACCUGGCAGCUCUACUUGCCUACAUUCAAAUCAAGGUUUAGAUACUAAUCUGGAACGAUGUCCUACCUGUAAUGAGAUAUCAGCAAUGAGUGCUCAGCCACUCGAGCUGCUAUUUGUAAAGUGUGCUUAAUGCCAUAUUAAUAAAAUCCUUCUGUUAAAAAAAUCAAACUUAAUUAGUGUGCCUAACUUUCAGGUUAGUGUGUGGUUACAAAUAUUCCAACUACGUAGCUGACCGUGAGUAUGAUACUCUUUGACUUCUCCAGUAUAGACUAAUUAAUAGUACAAUAAUCUUUGCAUGAUGCAAACGUAUAGAACUCCUUAAUACAAAAAGAUUAGAUAAUCCCUAUUAAUUUACCAUGUUAGCACUUACAAAACCUAUCCUGUAUUGCUUGUCGCUGGCAGCACCGAAUAUGGACAUGCCUGCCGCUCCAGUCGUAAUAAUAUUAGUUGACAGGAGCUUCUAUCAGGUAGUCUAGGCAAUGCAAGAGAAAAAAAUUAAAACACAAUGGAAAGCACAUAACAACUAUUAGUUGGACGGUAUCACAUGCCAAUAUGUCUCCACCAAGUAGAUUGGAUUUCUACAUCCUGCCGCCGGAUCGGUUAAGGGGUGAUGAUGAUUCCAGAUAUUUUUCUUAAUUUCUCUGAUCAAAGUAAUUGUAAUCUCAAGCACAAAUUUACUCGGUGACACAAAACUGACUAAAAGAUCAUUCCUACUUUUUUGUUCGUUUACUGACUUAAGUGUAGCAUCUAUGCAUAUUUCAGACUUGAAUCAAACUGGGAGAAAAAUAACUUAUUUGUCCAUAGGGAGCAAACAGAGAAUUAAACACAGACUGACAAACGUUGUACUAAUAUAAAUUAUAGGUAACGCCUAAUAUAAAAUACAAGCAAUGCCCCAACUUACAGAGAUUGGACACCCAGAUUAAACAGAAAAAAGUGCAUACAACUUUAGUAAACGCCAUGUUACAAAGACUGAUUUUGAUUUGUAAAAAGGGCAAAUCUCCAAGCAAUAUUGAACAACGUGGGCUACUAUGAGUACAGGUUAAUAGAUGUGACACAUUUAGUUAAUGGAACCUGACUACUGGUCCCUUUAAUUCUUUUUACUUAAUUAGCUUGAUUAGCUGAUAGAACACCUUCCUUUUGUUAGCUAUCUAGAAAAAAACACUAAAACUACUUGUGAACCCAGUGCAUCUCAAUCAAGAUACAGGUUAACAUAUGUGAAACAUUUGGUUAAUGGAACCUGACAUCUGGUCCCUUUUAUUUUUGUUACUUGAUUAGCUUGAGCAGCUGACAUGACACCUUUUUGUUUUUCAUGAAUUGCAGAAGCUUAAUUAGUUGAGCUAUCUAGAAAAAAAAUUUAAAACUACUUGAGAAUCCAGUGCAUCUCUAUCAAGAUAAAUCAUACUGUAGGUGUUGACAUCUACGAUCGUUUCCCCAUUCAUACUCUGCAUUUCUGCAACUCCACUUGAAAAGGGCAUGGAGUCAGGAAAGGCUACAAUCUUCUGAUGGAUAUUCAAUCCAAUGGUCAGACUGUGGAUAUAUUAGGGCCGAAGCACCACAGGAUAAUUAGUUGCUAAUUAAAUAUGGUCUGAACCUCAAUUGACACACUUAUUGUUCAAGUUUAAGGACCAACCACAACAUACUAUUAAGCUUGCAAAAUGGUCUUACAUUAUGGGACGGAGGGAGUACACGUGUAAAUUUUAUGAAAGUUAGAAACUCAAAGUCUUUUACACCCUAUUGAUCUACAUCCAAUGAAUUAUGAGGCACUCUUUCCUUAUUAGCUACAUUUCUACAACUGCCAUCAGGGAUGCCAACCAACAGAGAAGCUUCUCAAAUAUUAUUCUGAAUCACUAUAUCUAUGUAACUAAAUAUGAAUCUUUAAGACUUUAGUCAAACAGGGAUCAAGCAGAAAACUGUUCAUGAACUUAUUUGGUCAUGGAUUUGAAUCAAACAGAGAGCAAACAUGGACAGGCAAACAAUCGAGUAAUAUAAUGCACAGGCAACACCCGACUUACAUAGAUUGGAUGCUCAGAUUAAAGAGAAAAACUGCAGGAAACAUUAGUACAUGCCCAGGUUUCACAGAUUGUUUUUGAUUGAAGCAAUAUCCAACAACGUUGGCCUAAUUUGGGAAAAGCUGAUACAUACCACAACGUUGGACUAAUUUGGGAAAAGCUGAUACAUACCUCUGGUGUAGCACGUUCGGAAGGCGGAUGUUCUUCCUCCAGUGAACUUAGCAGAGGCGACAUUGGAUGGCUCGGUGGCGAACUCGGCGGAGGCUGUUGGAAAUAUGCCCUAGAGGCAAUAAUAAAUUGAUUAUUAUUAUAUUUCCUUGUUCAUGAUAAUCGUUUAUUAUCCAUGCUAGAAUUGUAUUGAUAGGAAACUCAGAUACAUGUGUGGAUACAUAGACAACACCAUGUCCCUAGUAAGCCUCUAGUUGACUAGCUCGUUAAUCAAUAGAUGCUUACGGUUUCCUGACCAUGGACAUUGGAUGUCGUUGAUAACAGGAUCACAUCAUUAGGAGAAUGAUGUGAUGGACAAGACCCAAUCCUAAGCCUAGCACAAGAUCAUGUAGUUCGUAUGCUAAAGCUUUUCUAAUGUCAAGUAUCAUUUCCUUAGACCAUGAGAUUGUGCAACUCCCGGAUACCGUAGGAGUGCUUUGGGUGUGCCAAACGUCACAACGUAACUGGGUGGCUAUAAAGGUACACUACGGGUAUCUCUGAAAGUGUCUGUUGGGUUGGCACGAAUCGAGAUUGGGAUUUUGUCACUCCGUGUAAACGGAGAGGUAUCUCUGGGCCCACUCGGUAGGACAUCAUCAUAAUGUGCACAAUGUGACCAAGGGGUUGAUCACGGGAUGAUGUGUUACGAAACGAGUAAAGAGACUUGUCGGUAACGAGAUUGAACAAGGUAUCGGUAUACCGACGAUCGAAUCUCGGGCAAGUACCAUACCGCUAGACAAAGGGAAUUGUAUACGGGAUUGAUUGAGUCCUUGACAUCGUGGUUCAUCCGAUGAGAUCAUCGUGGAACAUGUGGGAGCCAACAUGGGUAUCCAGAUCCCUCUGUUGGUUAUUGACCGGAGAACGUCUCGGUCAUGUCUGCAUGUCUCCCGAACCCGUAGGGUCUACACACUUAAGGUUCGAUGACGCUAGGGUUAUAAAGGAAGUUUGUAUGUGGUUACCGAAUGUUUUUCGGAGUCCCGGAUGAGAUCCCGGACGUCACGAGGAGUUCCGGAAUGGUCCGGAGGUAAAGAUUUAUAUAUAGGAAGUCCUGUUUCGGCCAUCGGGACAAGUUUCGUGGUCAUCGGUAUUGUACCGGGACCACCGGAAGGGUCCUGGGGGCCCACCGGGUGGGGCCACCUGCCUCGGGGGGCCACAUGGGCUGUAGGGGGUGCGCCUUGGCCUACAUGGGCCAAGGGCACCAGCCCCUAGAGGCCCAUGCGCCAAGAUAUAGGAAAAAGGGGAGAGUCCUAAAGGGGGAAGGCACCUCCGAGGUGCCUUGGGGAGGAUGGACUCCUCCCCCCCUCUUAGCCGCACCCUUUCCUUGGAGGAAGGGGCAAGGCUGCGCCUCCCCCCUCUCCCCUGCCCCUAUAUAUAGUGGAGGGGAGGGAGGGCAUCCAUACCUGAGCCCUUGGCGCCUCCCUCCCUCCCGUGACACCUCCUCCUCUCCCGUAGGUGCUUGGCGAAGCCCUGCAGGAUUGUCACGCUCCUCCAUCACCACCACGCCAUUGUGCUGCUGCUGGAUGGAGUCUUCCUCAACCUCUCCCUCUCUCCUUGCUGGAUCAAGGCGUGGGAGACAUCGUCGAGCUGUACGUGUGUUGAACGCGGAGGUGCCGUCCGUUCGGCACUAGGAUCAUCGGUGAUCUGAAUCACGACGAGUACGACUCCAUCAACCCCGUUCACUUGAACGCUUCCGCUUAGCGAUCUACAAGGGUAUGUAGAUGCACUCCCCUUUCUACUCGUUGCUGGUCUCUCUAUAGAUAGAUCUUGGUGUUACGUAGGAAAAUUUUGAAUUUCUGCUACGUUCCCCAACAGUGGUAUCAGAGCUAGGUCUAUUGCGUAGAUUCUUUGCACGAGUAGAACACAAAGUAGUUGUGGGCGUCGAUAUUGUUCAAUAUGCUUGGCGUUACUAGUCUUAUCUUGAUUCGGCGGCAUCGUGGGAUGAAGCGGCUCGGACCAACCUUACAGUACGCUUACGUGAGACCGGUUCCACCGACAAACAUGCACUAGUUGCAUAAGGUGGCUGGCGGGUGUCUAUCUCUCCCACUUUAGUCGGACCAGAUUCGAUGAAAAGGGUCCUUAUGAAGGGUAAAUAGCAAUUGGCAUAUCACGUUGUGGUUCAUGCGUAGGUAAGAAACGUUCUUGCUAGAAACCCAUAGCAGUCACGUAAAACAUGCAAACAACAAUUAGAGGACGUCUAACUUGUUUUUGCAGGGUAUGCUAUGUGAUGUGAUAUGGCCAAAAGGAUGUGAUGAAUGAUAUAUGUGAUGUAUGAGAUUGAUCAUGUUCUUGUAAUAGGAAUCACGACUUGCAUGUCGAUGAGUAUGACAACCGGCAGGAGCCAUAGGAGUUGUCUUUAUUUAUUUGUGACCUGCGUGUCAACUUAAAACGUCAUGUAAUUACUUUACUUUAUUGCUAACCGUUAGCCAAGGUAGUAGAAGUAAUAGUUGGCGAGGCAACUUCAUGAAGACACGAUGAUGGAGAUCAUGAUGAUGGAGAUCAUGGUGUCAUGCCGGUGACGAUGAUGAUCAUGGAGCCCCGAAGAUGGAGAUCAAAAGGAGCAAAGUGAUGAUGGCCAUAUCAUGUCACUAUUUGAUUGCAUGUGAUGUUUAUCAUGUUUAUACAUCUUAUUUGCUUAGAACGACAGUAGUAAAUAAGAUGAUCCCUUACAACAAUUUCAAGAAGUGUUCUCCCCUAACUGUGCACCGUUGCGACAGUUCGCUGUUUCAAAACAUCACGUGAUGAUCGGGUGUUUUAUUCAGACGUUCAAAUACAAUGGGUGUUGACGAGCCUAGCAUGUACAGACAUGGCCUCGGAACACACGCGAAACACUUAGGGUUAACUUGACGAGCCUAGCAUGUACAGACAUGGCCUCGGAACACGGAGACCGAAAGGUCGAGCAUGAGUCGUAUAGAAGAUACGAUCAACAUGAAGAUGUUCACCGAUGAUGACUAGUCCGUCUCACGUGAUGAUCGGACACGGCCUAGUUUGACUCGGAUCAUGUAAUCACUUAGAUGACUAGAGGGAUGUCUAUCUGAGUGGGAGUUCAUAAGAUGAACUUAAUUAUCCUGAACAUAGUCAAAAGGAUUUUGCAAAUUAUGUCGUAGCUCACGCUAUAGUUCUACUGUUUAGAUAUGUUCCUAGAGAAAAAUUAGUUGAAAGUUGAUAGUAGCAAUUAUGCGGACUAGGUCCGUAUACUGAGGAUUGUCCUCAUUGCUUCAUAGAAGGCUUAUGUCCUUAAUGCACCGCUCAGUGUGCUGAACCUCGAACGUUGUCUGUGGUUGUUGCGAACAUCUGACAUACACGUUUUGAUAACUACGUGAUAGUUCAGUUAAACGGUUUAGAGUUGAGGCACCAAAGACGUUUUUGAAACAUCGCGAAACAUAUGAGAUGUUUUGAGGGCUGAAAUUGGGAUUUCAGGCUCGUGCCCAUGUCAAGAGGUAUAAGACCUCCGAUGACUUUCUUAACCUGCAAACUAAGGAGAAAAGCUCAAUUGUUGAGCUUGUGCUCAGAUUGUCUGAGUACAACAAUCAUUUGAAUCGAGUGGGAGUUGAUCUUCCAGAUAAGACAGUGAUGGUUCUCCAAAGUCAUUGCCACCAAGCUGUUAGAGCUUCGUGAUGAACUAUAACAUAUCAAGGAUAGAUAUGAUGAUCCUUGAGAUAUUCGCGUUGUUUGACAUCGCGAAAGUAGAAAUCAAGAAGGAGCAUCAAUUGUUGAUGGUUGAUGAAACCACUAGUUUCAAGAAGGGCAAGGGAAAGAAGGGAUACUUCAUGAAACGGCAAAUCAGCUGCUGCACCAAUGAAGAAACCCGAGGUUGAACCCAAACCCGAGACUAAGUGCUUCUGUAAUAAGGGGAACAACCACUGGAGCAGCAUUACCCUAGAUACUUGGUAGAUGAGAAGGCAGGCAAGGUCGAUAGAAGUAUAUUGGAUAUACAUUAUGUUAAUGUGUACUUUACUAGUACUCCUAGUAGCACCAGGGUAUUAGAUACCGGUUCGGUUGCUAAGUGUUAGUAACUCGAAAUAAAAGCUACGGAAUAAAUGGAGACUAGCUAAACGUGAGAUGACGAUAUGUGUUGGAAGUGUUUCCAACGUUGAUAUGAUCAAGCAUCACACGCUCCCUCUACCAUCGAGAUUGGUGUUUGCGUUGAGCAUAGACAUGAUUGGAUUAUGUCUAUCGCAAUACGGUUAUUCAUUUAAGGAGAAUAAUGGUUACUCUGUUUAUUUGAAUAAUACCUUCAAUGGUCUUACACCUAAAAUGAAUGGUUUAUUAAAUCUCGAUCGUAGUGAUACACAUGUUCAUGCCAAAAGAUAGUAAUGAUAGUACCACCUACUUGUGGCACUGCCACGUAAGUCAUAUCGGUAUAAAACGCAUGAAGAAGCUCCAUAUUGAUGGAUCUUUGGGCUCACUCGUUUUGAAAAGUUUGAGACAUGCGAACCAUGUCUAUUGGUGUAUAUGCAUGAAGAAACUCCAUGCAAAUGGACCGUUUUGACUCACUUGAUUUUGAAUCACUUGGGACAUGCAAAUCAUACCACAUGGGCAAGAUGACUGAAAAGCCUCGUUUUCAGUAAGAUGGAACAAGAUAGCAACUUGUUGGAAGUAACACAUUUUGAUGUGUGCAGUCCAAUGAGUGCUGAGGCAUGCAGUGAACAUCGUUAUAUUCUUACUUCACAGAUGAUUCAAGUAGAUGUUGAGUAUAUUUACUUGAUGAAUCACGAGUCUGAAUUAUUGAAAGAUUCAAGUAAUUUCAGUGUGAAGUUGAAAGAUCGUCGUGACAAGAGGAUAAAAGAUCUAUGAUAUGAUCAUAGAGAUGAAUAUCUGAAUCACGAGUUUGGCACAGAAUUAAGACAUUGUGGAAAUUGUUUCACAACUGAUACAGCCUGGAACACCAUAGUGUGAUGGUGUGUCCAAACGUCAUAGUUGCACCCUAUUGGAUAUGGUGCAUACCAUGAUGUCUCUUAUCGAAGUACCACUAUAGUUUAUGGGUUAGGCAUUAGAGACAACCACAUUCACUUUAAAUAGGGCACCACGUAAUUCCGUUGAGAUGACACCGUAUGAAUUAUGGUUUAGAGAAACCUAAGCUGUCAUUUCUUAGAAGUUUGGGGCUGCGAUGCUUAUAUGAAAAAGUUUCAGGUUGAUAAGCUCGAACCCAAAGCGGAUAAAAUGCAUCUUCAUAGGACACCCAAAACAGUUGGGUAUACCUCCUGUCUCAGAUCCGAAAGCAAUAAGGGAUUGUUUCUAGAAUCAGGUCCUUUCUCGAGGAAAAGUUUCUCUCGAAAGAAUUGAGUGGGAGGAUGGUGGAGACUUGAUGAGGUUAUUGAACCAUCACUUCAACAAGUGUGUAGUAGGGCACAGGAAGUUGUUCCUGUGGCACCUACACCAAUUGAAGUGGAAGCUUAUGAUAGUGAUCAUGAAGUUUCGGAUCAAGUCACUACCGAACCUCGUAGGGUGACAAGGAUACGUACUACUUCAGAGUGGUACAGUAAUCCUGUCUUGGAAGUCAUGUUGCUAGACAACAAUGAACCUACGAGCUAUGGAGAAGCGAUGGUGGGCCCGGAUUUCGAUAAAUGGCUCAAGGCCAUAAAACCCGAGAGAGGAUCCAUGUAUGAAAACAAAGUGUAGACUUUGGAAGAACUACUUGAUGGUCGUAAGGCUGUUAGGUACAUAUGGAUUUUGAAAGGAAGACAGACAAUGAUGGUAAGUGUCACCAUUGAGAAAGCUCGACUUGUCGUUAAGAUGUUUUUCGACAAGUUCAAGGAGUUGACUACGAUGAGACUUUCUCACUCGUAGCGAUGCUAAGAGUCUGUUGGAAUUAUAUUAGCAAUUACUGCAUUAUUUAUGAAAUCUUGCAGAUAGGAUGUCAAAACAUUGUUUCCUCGACGAUUCUUGAGGAAAGGUUGUAUGUGAUACAAUCGGAAGGUUUUGUCCAUCCUGAAAUAUGCUAAUAAGUAUGCAAAGCUCCAGCAAUCCUUCUGAGGACUGGAGUGAGCAUCUCGGAGUUGGAAUGUAUGCUUUGAUGAUGAUCAAAGAUUUUGGGUGUAUACAAAGUUUAUGAGAAACUUGUAUUUCCAAAGAAGUGAGUGGGAGCACUAUAGAAUUUCUGAUGAGUAUAUGUUGUUGACAUAUUAAUGAUCAGAAAUGACGUAGAAUUUCUGGAAAGCAUAUAGGGUUAUUUGGAAAGUGUUUUCAAUGGAAAACCUGGACUAAGCUACUUGAACAUUGAGCAUCAAGAUCUAUAAGGAUAGAUCAAAACGCUUAAUAGUACUUUCAAAUGAGCACAUGCCUUGACGUGAUCUUGAAGGUGUUCAAGAUGGAUCAGUCAAAGAAGGAGUUCUUGUCUGAGUUGUAAGGUAUGAAGUUAAGACUUAAAGCUCGACCAUGGCAGAAUAGAGAGAAAGGAACGAAGGUCGUCCCCUAUGCUUAAGACAUAGGCUCUACAGUAUGCUAUGCUGUGUACCGCACCUGAAGUGUGCUUUACCAUGAGUCAGUCAAGGGGUACAAGAGUGAUCCAAGAAUGGAUCACAGGACAGCGGUCAAAGUUAUCCUUAGUAACUAGUGGACUAAGGAAUUUUCUCAAUUAUGGAGGUGGUAAAAGAGUUCGUCGUAAAGGGUUACGUCGAUGCAAGCUUAACACCUAUCCGGAUAGCUCUAAGUAGAGAUACCGGAUAUGUAUAAUGGAGCAACAAUUUAGAAUAGCUCCAAGUAGAACAGUUAUUUGGAAUAGCUCCAAAUAGAACGUGGAAGCUGCAUCUAGGAGAUGACAUAGAGAUUUGUAAAGCACACACGGAUCUGAAAGGUUCAGACCCGUUGACUAUAACCUCUCUCACAAGCAUAACAUGAUCAAACCCAAAACUCUUUGGGUGUUAGUCACAUGGGGAUGUGACCUUGAGUGUUAAUCACAUAUCAAUGUGAACUAGAUUAUUGACUCUAGUGCAAGUGGGAGACUGUUGGAAAUAUGCCCUAGAGGCAAUAAUAAAUUGAUUAUUAUUAUAUUUCCUUGUUCAUGAUAAUCGUUUAUUAUCCAUGCUAGAAUUGUAUUGAUAGGAAACUCAGAUACAUGUGUGGAUACAUAGACAACACCAUGUCCCUAGUAAGCCUCUAGUUGACUAGCUCGUUAAUCAAUAGAUGGUUACGGUUUCCUGACCAUGGACAUUGGAUGUCGUUGAUAACGGGAUCACAUCAUUAGGAGAAUGAUGUGAUGGACAAGACCCAAUCCUAAGCCUAGCACAAAGAUCGUAGUUCGUAUGCUAAAGCUUUUCUAAUGUCAAGUAUCAUUUCCUUAGACCAUGAGAUUGUGCAACUCCCGGAUACCGUAGGAGUGCUUUGGGUGUGCCAAACGUCACAACGUAACUGGGUGGCUAUAAAGGUACACUACGGGUAUCUCUGAAAGUGUCUGUUGGGUUGGCACGAAUCGAGAUUGGGAUUUUGUCACUCCGUGUAAACGGAGAGGUAUCUCUGGGCCCACUCGGUAGGACAUCAUCAUAAUGUGCACAAUGUGACCAAGGGGUUGAUCACGGGAUGAUGUGUUACGGAACGAGUAAAGAGACUUGCCGGUAACGAGAUUGAACAAGGUAUCGGUAUACCGACGAUCGAAUCUCGGGCAAGUACCAUACCGCUAGACAAAGGGAAUUGUAUACGGGAUUGAUUGAGUCCUUGACAUCGUGGUUCAUCCGAUGAGAUCAUCGUGGAACAUGUGGGAGCCAACAUGGGUAUCCAGAUCCCGCUGUUGGUUAUUGACCGGAGAACGUAUCGGUCAUGUCUGCAUGUCUCCCGAACCCGUAGGGUCUACACACUUAAGGUUCGAUGACGCUAGGGUUAUAAAGGAAGUUUGUAUGUGGUUACCGAAUGUUGUUCGGAGUCCCGGAUGAGAUCCCGGACGUCACGAGGAGUUCCGGAAUGGUCCGGAGGUAAAGAUUUAUAUAUAGGAAGUCCUGUUUCGGCCAUCGGGACAAGUUUCAUGGUCAUCGGUAUUGUACCGGGACCACCGGAAGGGUCCCGGGGGCCCACCGGGUGGGGCCACCUGCCACGGGGGGCCACAUGGGCUGUAGGGGGUGCGCCUUGGCCUACAUGGGCCAAGGGCACCAGCCCCUAGAGGCCCAUGCGCCAAGAUAUAGGAAAAAGGGGAGAGUCCUAAAGGGGGAAGGCACCUCCGAGGUGCCUUGGGGAGGAUGGACUCCUCCCCCCCUCUUAGCCGCACCCUUUCCUUGGAGGAAGGGGCAAGGCUGCGCCUCCCCCCUCUCCCCUGCCCCUAUAUAUAGUGGAGGGGAGGGAGGGCAUCCAUACCUGAGCCCUUGGCGCCUCCCUCCCUCCCGUGACACCUCCUCCUCUCCCGUAGGUGCUUGGCGAAGCCCUGCAGGAUUGCCACGCUCCUCCAUCACCACCACGCCGUUGUGCUGCUGCUGGAUGGAUUCUUCCUCAACCUCUCCCUCUCUCCUUGCUGGAUCAAGGCGUGGGAGACAUCGUCGAGCUGUACGUGUGUUGAACGCGGAGGUGCCGUCCGUUCGGCACUAGGAUCAUCGGUGAUCUGAAUCACGACGAGUACGACUCCAUCAACCCCGUUCACUUGAACGCUUCCGCUUAGCGAUCUACAAGGGUAUGUAGAUGCACUCCCCUUUCUACUCGUUGCUGGUCUCUCCAUAGAUAGAUCUUGGUGUUACGUAGGAAAAUUUUGAAUUCCUGCUACGUUCCCCAACAGAGGCGACAUUGGAAUGCUCGACCGAUGUUCUUCUUCCAGUGAACUCCACAGCGGCGACAUUGGACGUUGCCAAAAGCACCUUGUCCGAUCAUAUAUGAUGGGUGAAAAUUGUUUGUCACAGCUGCAACAUCUUUGAAGCUUUGAAAAUUCAAAACCUUCAAUGGGGCUUCGUGUCCUAAAACCUUCACAAGUGCUCAAAUCUCCUAGGCCUAGUAAUUUUGUAGUAUUUGUGAGCAUUGAGCAGCAUAAUGCAGAAUUGGUUUAUGUCACAUAUGCAUGAGCAUAGUACACUGUGUCUUUGGACCUGCAAACCCAUAUCACAAUGGAUAAGCAUGUGAGCACCAGCAUGCCUGCUAAAACCGGCAACAAAUUUUCAUCAUGUUUUCUCUUUCUUCCUGUCUUGAGAGAUUCAGAUUGAUGUUAUCAGACAAUGUUUGUGGUACAAAUUCCAGCAAACUCACAAUGAUCAAAUAUUACUAUGGGGAAGGUUAAUUUGUGUGGUACCUGCAGUAGCCACGCCAACGACAGGGAGGAGCAGCGUGUCGCUGCCAGCAACACUGCCUCCCAACUUCUUGGCGUCGAUGAGGUCCCCCAGCCAUACCAGGCACCUGGUGGCGUCCUCCUUGGAGCUGUUGCUCAGGUUGGCCCGCCGAUCUACAAGCUCCAGCCUCCGCCGCCGCCGUUCUGCAAGCUCCAGCUGCCACCGCCGAUCCAGCCGCCCCCGCCGCUCUACAUCGAGCAGCCGCGCCACCCCCAGCCACUCGAGCCGCCGCGUUGACCUCCAGCGGCGCCGUUUGACAAGCUCCAGCCACCACCGUUGAUCCAGCGGCGCGACAGAAGCUGUCUCCGCCGUGACCAAUGGCGGGGCACUACGAUGGCGACUGCAAGGGGAUGGGAGAGAGUAGCGAGGGUUGCUGGGAGCGGAGGGAUGGGGCGCGGCGGCGGAGGGAACCCUAGCGCCGGGCGUCUCUGGUUCUCGUGCGAGAGAGAGCUUCCGUCGAAUCGUUUUUUCUUUCACUUAAUAGAAUAAAUUAAUGGAUAUGAAAGCGUAAAUUCUCGUGAAGAAGCGUAUUGUGACGGUGAACCCACGGAGUCAAUCCGUGCUUUAUUAUUAGGGACUAGCACAAAUGCCCGUGGGUUGCAACGGGAGAGAAUACUGAUGUGUACUCAAAUUCAGUAAGAAAAUUGCUCGUGCGUUGUAACGGGAAUACAUUGUUAAUUUUUUGUCACGGCAGCAAAAUGUGCAAGGAAGAAAACAUGCAAGGUUAUGCUUGUUUUGAUCUCGCCGCGUCCUGGUUGGCACUCUUCUUGCUCUAUAUCACGUACAACAACCUGACAACACCUGAGAUCCUGAUAAUUUCAAAUAUUGAUAAUGACUUUUCAACCUCGAUGAACAUGUAUAUACCUAAGUUUAGGCGCAACAAAAAUGUACCAAAUUGAACCAUGCAAGUCAUAUGUCAUCUAUAACAAUAAUCAAUUUAAGUCCACCUAUGCAAAUUCCUUUAUCAACCAGAGCAACCAGAUAACAGAACAUAUAAAAAUAGGAAGAUGCACGUUAUUAUCUAAUUCAUUGAGAGGAAUUGUACAGCAUGGGACUACAGUAUAGACACAAAAUCAGAAAAAAAAAUAAUAGAAUACAUUAGUGAACUGGCGUUUUGUGGUAGCGUAACUUCGGAUAGCGGAUCUUUGAAGCUCGGCAAGGAUCAACGGCAACGGCGGGGGAUCGAUCACUGGUGACUUAGAAAUAGGCCCUAUACCUUAAAAAAAUAUUUUGAGACCCAUGAGAGAUACUCCUGAACAAAAAAAAACAC